rnacentral:lncRNA from 1 species
AUUCCUACAACAAAAACUCAAGUCUUAACUUUUGUUACCCAUAUCAUUUUGGGUCCUCUAUUGUUAGUUUCAUAAAUAUUUUUGUUAAAAUGCGGUAUUGCUAUCAAGGGUAAGUAUUUAUUUUGUCGUAUCCACAAGGACUGGUGUGAUAUCAAUGUCGUUAAAUAGUUACUAUGAUUUUAAGCGUAAGUUUGCAAGAUGUUUGUUACAGAGUGUAAAUCAAUAAAUGAUAGAAAAAGUUUCAAAGAGAUGAGAGCUUGUUAGGAUUGGAUUUCAUCCACCGAUAGAAUAUUUAACUUACCAAUCAGCUAUACACAAUCUAAACUUAUCAAUAUCAUCACGUAUCGCUCGCCGACAGUGUUUAUGUCUUAACUCCUGAUGAGAGUUCAACUGCAUUUUUGAAUUGACGAUCUUUCAGCCUAUUAAACAAUACGGUAGCAUUAAGACUCGAUACUCAAAUGAAUGUUAAAUCUAAAUCUAUGUCUAGAGUUUAGCAUCUAACAGGUGAUUAUCCUAGAUCGAGAUUCAAAGAGUAUUUCUCAAUAACAAUUCAAAUCAAUAUGUAAAACAAGUAAACAAGUAUAAUAUCAAUAUAGAUUCAUAAAUAGAUUGUAUACAACAUCAUGAUAAAUAAAAAUACAAACUGUUACGACGAAAUUACAUCCAAUCCCAACAAGAAAGGAAUUUAGCUACUCAUGGUAGCUAGAUACAAAGAGAAGAAUGAAGAUAAACAUGCAUCAAUCAUAAUUUCCUAAUGAGAUUGAUGCGAACCCAUCUUCCGAUCUUCAAGAAGCACCAUCUCUUGUUGUUUACUAAGUUAGAGAGAGAGAGAGAGAGAGAGCAAAAUCUAAUAUAUAUCUCAAAAUAACAACUAAAAGUUAUUUAUAGAAAACAAAAAGUUGAAAACCGCGCUAAGCCUUAAAUUUGGCGCUCAACACCAAAUCCAGAAAAUGCCUUAAACCGCCUUAAAUGGUGCUAAGCGUCAUAUUUAGUGAUGAGCGUGAAAGCUCAUGCCUCAACAACUCAAAACGUGCUUUAAGCGUGCUAAGCCCACCUGCAGCAUUGAUUUCUUCCAAAAAUUACAUGUUGAAGCUAUUUCUUCCGCUUUUGAGGUCCAAAGCUCCUCCAAUGCAAACAUACCUACAAAAUGAGUUGCAAAUGAUCAAUCUACACAAUAUUUACACAUAAGUUGAGGUUUUUACUUAUGAAUCCAAAGAAUCAAGCUAAUAAGUGCCAUUUUUUCAUGCAUAAAUUCACCAUUGUUUGGCACUUAUCAAUUUUUACAAGGCACGCUUAGCGCCCUCUGCUUAACACCCUCUGCUAUUGCUUAUCGUCGGCUCUACUGCCCAGAAUUUUCAAAAUGAAAUUUUUUGUCAAGCUUUCCAUCCACUUUCACUAUUUAAGGCUUAAACUACUUAAUACAUAGUUAUUAAAUACUUAUAAAGUUGGGUUGCCUCCCAACAAGUGCUUAUUUUACAUCGUUAAUUCGACGCCUUUUUCAAUUAGACACUCCCUCUUGUUGCUUAUUUUGCUUUGCUAGUUGUUUGCUCUUCCUGGUUUUGAUGAUUUUUCUUCACCAGCAGUUACCCCUAACCAACACUUGAGCAAUCGUGAUGGGAAACAAGUAUAUAUACAAUAUAGACAAAUGUAUAAAGCUUAAAAAGAUAUAAAAUAUUGCCAUGCUUUAAUAUCUAAACGCCAAUCCCUAGCAACGACGCUAUUUUGUUGAAAUGUAGUAUUGCUAUCAAGGGUAAAUAUUUGUUUUGUCAUAUCCACAGGGACUGGUGUGAUAUCAAUGUCGUUCAACAGUUACUAUGAUUUUAAGCGUAAGUUUGCAAGAUGUUUGUUACAAAGUGUAAAUCAAUAAAUGAUAGGAAAAGUUUCAGAGAGAUGAGAGCUUGUCAAGAUUGGAUUUCAUCCACCGAUAGAAUAUGUAAUUUAACAAUCAGUUAUACAUAAUCUAAACAUUUAUCAAUACCAUCAUGUAUCACUCGCCGGCAGUGUUUAUAUCUAAACUCCUGAUAAGAGUUCAACCGUAUUAUUGAAUCGACGAUCUCUCAACCUAUUAAACAAUACGGUAGCAUUAAGACUUGAUACUCAAUAAUAGAUGAUUAUCCUAGAUCAAGAUUCGAAGAGUAUUUCUCAAUAACAGUUCAAAUCAAUACGUAAAACAAGUAAACAAGGAUAAUAUUUAUAUAUAUUUAUAUAUAUUUAUAAAGAGAUUGUAUACAACGCCGUGAUUAAUAAAAAUACAUACUAUUUUGAUGAACUUACAUCCAAUCCCAACAAGAAAGGGGUUUAGCUACUCAUGAUAGCUAGAUACAAAUAGAAGAAUGAAGAUGAACAUGCAUAAAUUGAUUUCCCAAUGAUUGAUGCGAAACCAGCUUCUGAUCUUCAAGAAGCACACUCUCCGGUUGUUUUCUAAGUUUCUCUCUCUACAAAAUGUAAUAUAUAUUUCAAAAUAACAACUGAAAGCUAUUUAUAGAAAACAUAAAGUUGUAGGCCGCACUAAACCCCAAAUUUAGCGCUUAGCGCCAUAUCUAGAAAAACACAUUAAACCGCCUUAAACGGUGCUAAGCGUCGGAUUUGGCGUUGAGCGUGGAAGCUCCUGCCUCAGCAUUUAAAAGCAUACUUUGAGCGCACUAAGCCCCAAUGAAGCUAUUUCUUCCUCUUUUGAUGUCUAGAGUUCAUCCAAUGCAAACAUACCUACAAAAUGAGUUACAAAUGAUCAAUUUACACAAUAUUUACACAUAAGUUAAGGUUUUGACUCGUGAAUCCAAAGAAUCAAGCUAAUAAAUGCCAUUUUUUCAUGCAUAAAUUCACCACAAUUUGACACUUAUCAAUUUUGACCGUUUGAUUUUAUAUUAAAGAUAUAAGUAUUUGAUGAGGUAGAUAUAUUUUUCAUUUUGCGGUCAUAAUAUUUUUUGUAGAAGUAUGAAGGAGGAUGUCCUUCUUUGCUUUCAUGAUUUUUUUUAAUGAAGCAGAAUAUAUAAAUAUGACCUUCUUUAUUACAUUAAUUUCACUUUAGGGUGUUAUAAUGAGAGGCAAAUUUAUUAUUACAAAUAUUACUAAAGUUCUUAUUAUUGUUGUUAGGUUCAUAGGUGAGACCAACUCUAUUGUUGGAAACUCUUUGGUUUCUCAACAAAAUAUUCAAGUUAUAUCUUCCCUUAGUGAAACUGUCAAGUGUUUUUUAAAGAUCACAAUUUUAAUUUUUUUAAAGUAUCACAUUCAUUGCACUUUACAAGUUCAUCUACUUCUUGGUUAGAAGGGCAAGAGUUUUGGACUAGAUCAUUUUGUCUCUUUCUAAGGUUUUCUAUUUCUUCCUCAAGGUUCUUAUUUUUAGAUUCAAGGGGAAAAAAUAGUAGCCUUGGGUAUUGAGACAACUUGUUCUAGUUUACUUGUUUAUUUUUUUACCUUCUUACAAAUGCGAAAAAGAUCUUAAUAAGAGAAGUAAAAGGUUACCUCAUCAUCUCGAUGAUUUUCCAUUAGACAGAUGUUGGCUUCUUCAUCAUCUAAAGACUCCAUGUCAUUGUCCUCCCAUAUUAUAUAAGCUUUCUUUCCCUCUUUCUAAGCUUUCUUAGAGUUCUUUUGAUUUUCCUUUUUUCAAAGAGGACAAUUUGAUCGGAUAUGUCCUUUCUUUCCACAUAGGUAGCAUGUGGAAAUGAACGAGGCUUUUUCCUCACUUUUAUCUUGCUCUUUUUUUUGUUUCUCGUGGCUUGGGAAUUUUUUAAGUUUCGUACUAUGAGAGACAUGUCAACAUCAGAAUAUGAAUUUUCGGCUUUAAGAGCUAGACUUUUAUUUUUCUUCUUUCUUUCCUCCUCUAUGGAAAGCCUCUUUAGUUCCAUCCCAUGUUCCUGUAAUUUAUCAAAGAGAGAGAGAGAGAGAGAGAGUGUGUCCAUGUUUGCUAAAUACAUAUAUUCAUAAAUCACAAUGACUUUAGGUUUCCAACUGCGGUUUAGGCAUCUCAAAAUUUUCACAACCAAUUCCAUAUUUGAAAAUGUUUUCCUAUAGUACUCAUAUGACUCACGAUGUGGGUAAAUCGUAUUUGUAAUUGGUUUAUGUUCUCUCCAGGUUUCAUUUUAAAAUAUUCAUACUCGUGGAUUGCAAAGAGUCCGUGCAUCUGAAAAGUUAGUGCAUAAUGGGUAUAAAGUCACAGAAGAGUGCUCGCAAAUCCCAGAAGAGUGUUCCAUCUUCUUGGUUGGAUUCUCCUUACUCCUAAUUUCUAUUUUUACUAAAGUAGGCGGUCUUGAUGACGCCUUUAGAAAAGUCGAUACAUCUUCCUACUAGUAAGUCUUGAGUCCCACCGAGGAUGAAAAGACAUGCAGUAAGUAUGGAAAUUAUGGCAUUCCCGUUUAUGAGUGCACUUUAUCUGUCAUGGGUCUUCGCCUUCUUUUCAAUGCCUUUGAGAUAAAAUUCUUGAAUAAUAUGGUGAUGGCCCCUUAGAAACUUUAUCCUACAACCUAGGCGUAUGUGAAGGUUUACCAGUAUUCGUAUGAGUACCUAAAAGGAAAGCCUUUUAUGACCCCUUUCUUUCAUCUCUUUAAAUGUCGACGUAGUCCUGUGGCUCAAGGGCGUAACAAAGGGUAAAUUUCUCUAGAGCAGGUUGUGUGUUACUUUAGGCAUCUUCUCAAUCUUAUGCCAUUUGAAGAUAAAUUCUUUCUAGCCACCCCCAUCAACCCCAAAGCUCAUGCCAUGGUUUUUGCCAUUGGAGACAGAGUGGAGGGACGAUGUGCAAAACUAUUUCUCAAGUACUUAACUAAAAUUUAUUUUUAUAUUAGGAUAUUUCUGAUAAAGCUAUGUAUCUAAAGAAAUAAAUGGUGAGUUUAAUAUGCUUAUUCAUUAUGUAUUUGUUCUGAUAUUUGUUGUGUGCAUAUUAUAUGAAGGAUGAAGUACAACUCUGACUCAUAAAGCGGGGGAUAUGGCCAAUAGUGAGCGAAGCUGCUUUGAAUAAGCUGUUGAUGCUGCCAAAUAUGUUGGGUCUUUCUGCCCAUCCAUUGUUGGUAGGGUCGAGCUCCUAACUUUCAUUCCUUCAGAGACUGUUAGUGUAGUGGUAAAUUUGUUGAGAUUAAGCUAUUGAUUAACUUAACACACAAAUCAAGAGUCGCCACCACGCUUUUACUGUGCCCAAAGGAAAAGGGAAAAAGUACGAACAAAACCCAAAGAAGUUUUAAAAUAAAACUAAUAAAAAGAGAAUAAGGGUCUGGGGGUUAGUUAUGAAAAGGGAAUGUAUUAUCACCCUAAACAUCCAUGGUACUCCAUGGGAACCUCCUUGAAAAUAUGUAUAUUUUGGUUUGAGAAAGGGUGUUGUUUGUUAAAAGAUGGGAGAGAUAGUAAAAGAAGUAUAUUUUUCUUAUUUUUAUGUUUGUCAUGACUUUUGAAGUCUCAUACCUACGUACCAACAAAGUGCAAUGGAGGAUCAAAACCUCGUAGUUCAUGGUAAAAGUAACAAAGGGAGUUUGUUUUGAUUCAUUUUUAUGGAAAAGGCAUUUUGUCAUUUUAAGGAGAAUACUCAACUAGUCACCCACAAGUAUGAGAACUCUGCAUCAUCAUGAGAAGGACUCCAACUUGGAUAAGGAUCAACAAGUAUGCCACUAGCUCCCACAAAUGGAAAAGAAUUAUCAUCUAUACUAUGGAGAUAGGAGAAUUAUAUCUCAACUAUGAAAAUCACUCAUGUUUAACACCUUGAGAAAAGUUUUUAAAAGGAAAAAUGCACAAGGGCACAAAAUGGUUUGUAUGAGUUAGGCAUUUUUAGUCUUUUGAAAUUGGACUAAAUAUGAUUAAGAUGGAUUAACAUUUAUUAAGAAAAAGGUUUUGAAAAUCACUUAACAAAGGUCAAGGUUUAUUGAGAAAAAAGAUUCAAGUUUGAAAAACAAAAAGGUUUUGGAAAAGAGAGGAGAUUUUGAAAAUCAAAGAAGGGGGAGGAGAAGAAGAGACUAUCAUAGAGAAAAAAAAGUAAAAGCUAGGGAGGAAAGAUCUAACCAAGAAAAGGCAAGCUUUAUGACAUAAGUCAAGCAAUAAUUCCCUCAUUUGGAUUAAGCCUCAAGCAAGCAAAUAAUAAGCAAAUGAUAAUCCAUUUAUUAGAUGAAACCAAAGUAACCAAACCAAGUCUUCAUAGAGAAGUCCAAAGUCAUAGGUAUCAGAUGAAUCCCAAGGUCUCAAAUCUCAUGUCCUAAAGCAAAGGUCUAGAUCCUAAUUCUAAGUCCAUAAGUCCACAAUGAUGCCAAUGAUAGUAACCACAAGUCCAUGAGUUAGGAGAAACAAAUUUCUUUAAUAGGUUAUUCUUAUUAAUGUUUUAUUUACAAUGAUAUAAAAGAAUAAUCCAAAUGGACAAAGAACAAAUGAAAAAAAUCAUAAAUAAUAUGAUAUGAAAUGCUAAAUAUAAAGUAUAAAGUAAAUAACAUUAAAUAAAAGCAUACAAUAAAUGACAUUAAAAUAGAAUUUAAUACAAGUAAAGAGUUAGUAAAAGAUGUUAGUGAAUAUGAAAAGAUGUUUUGGUCAUUUUUUGGAGAACACUCAACUAUCCACUCACAAGCAUGAAAAUCUGAACCUAUACAUCAUUUAUGAGAAAGGCUCUAACUUGGAUAAAAUCAACAAGUAUGCCACUAGCUCUCACAAAUGGAAAAGGAUUAACAUUUUCACACAAUACCAUGAGGAGUAGGAGACUUACAAUCUCACUUAUAAAAAUGCCUUUGUUUCCUUUGGGACAAAUUUAGCGCUAUGUUAAGCAAUCGUAAUUGGACUUAUGUAGAAGUCACAACUAUCUGAGGUCGAUCAAUAAUAAUUUUUGUGUUAAUACAUGCUAGAGAAAUGAUAUGUAAAUUAUUCUCCUAAAGCCAUGUCAUACAAAAAAGAAAAAAAAAAGAGAUGAUCAAGCGCAAAGGCUAGAAGGAUGGUCAAUUACUUCAUUCCACACUUCAUGAUACCUAGGAUGAACUUAUGCAUCAAUAUAAAGUACCUUAAAUGAUCUAUGAUCAAUUAGGAGGUAGAUUUGAAAUGAUGAAAGUUCAUCAAACACCAAUCUAUACAUCAUGAACAAGAUGUACACAAGUCAUCCAAUUGAUCAAAGGGAAAAGAAAGAGAUGAAGAAGAAGGGGACAAGAGAGGUCACACCCAAAUUGGAUCAAAAAUUUGGUCAACUCAUCAUCAAAAUCAAUCACCCAUUUUGGUGGAUUAGGGUUUUCACCCCAUCAACAUCCAAGAUCCAUUGAGUUUGAUGAGACUUAAAAUCAAAACCAUCAUGAUCCAAGACCAACAGAAGUUCACAAGGUCACACAAAUACAAAAUACAAUUAAAUGAAAUAAAAAUGGGUCAAAGGUAUUUUUUAAUAAUUUUUAAAAUAGAAAUAAAAUGGAAAAUCCAUAAAGUUCUUCAAAACACCAAAUAAAUAUCCAGGAAAAUUAUGGAAGGUUGGAAAUAAAAUAAGAAACAUAUAAUAAAAUUUUCAGAAUGUUAAAAUACAGAAAAGUAUUUUGAAACCAAUUAAAAUAAUGGAGAAAAGAGAAAAUUCAUGAAAAAUAGAAAAUCAGUGAAAUAAAAUGUUAAAAAAUAAAAAUCAGAUGAAGAAAAAUAAAAGAGAAAUUUAUAAAUUAUUUUGGAAUUUUUUGGAUGAAAACUGAAAUUACUAUGAAUUUUUAAAGAAAAAACAAUUUUAAAAUAAUAAAAGAAAAAGAAUUGUAAUCAGAAAAAACACGGAGCGUUGGAUCAUGCCUCAUUAAUUGACGUGGCUGAUCCAACACUCCAAAGGUUAGGAUGUAUGAUGGAACACGCUGCCAGCCAAACACAGGAUCCAGUUUAAAUCCAACCAAUCAAAAAUUUCAUUCUGUCAACGUGUCUGGUUCAAACUCAGACAAUCUGAGAAAGCUUCGGUCGUCUUCUCGGUGAGCUGUCACCGGAGUUUCAUCAUUUGGUAAAUUCAAUACAUGAGACCACCACCAUUUUGAUCCUCUUCGCAUCCCGAAUUCAACCUCAUACUCCAAAUUCAUUUAUGUGAACUGAGCAAAGGAAAUUUCAGAGAAGUUUUAGAAACAAGCAAGUCAAGAAAAAUAAAAUUAAAUGAUGAACAUGAUCAAUCAACACCACAUAAGUUAUGUGAAAGCAUUAGAGAGUGAAGGACUACAUUGUGGUAGCUUGUUUGAGUUCAAAUGAUGCUCAGAACUACCUUAUACAGAUGGUGAUCAGAAGUUGAUGAAGCUCAAUCUGGUUAGAGCACUUUAGGAGGUCUCGGAGCUUGGGAAUUAUGCAAACGUUUCAGAGGAUGCUAAAGAUGCCAAUGGAAUCAAGAAAUUGAAUUGAAACAAGCUGAAACUCAAAACAUAAUAAUUGAAUUUUCUAGAAAAAUUUCAAGUUGUAGCAGGGCUUUCUUGGCUCUCAAAAGCUUGCAAAUUAAGGCAAUAACUUCCUCUAUUUGUAGGGAAUGUGUUUGGAUCCAAAUAUGUAUGGAAUGAUGCAGAAUUCGUGCAAAAUGAAAUUGAUCAAAAUGUGUGAAAAGUGUGACUUGAAACUCACAAAAACUCAGCCAAAUGAUGCGUUUUAAGUGUCAAUUAACUUCUAGAGACUUCAUAAAACAUAUUUAGGACCAAAACACUUGAUAAUUUGGCUUGGAAUUGAGAUUAGUCAUGAACAAAUUUCGGACAAUGGUGAUUUCUUCAAUUUCAAGUCACCAUGUUCAACUCAAUAGGGCAUCCUACUCAAGAGGCUUUCUGAUCCCAUUCUUUUUGCAACGUAUUAACAUCAUGGCCAAGAUUAAAAUGUGCCAAGAAAGGUUGCAUUUGGAUGUUUGAGUACAAAGUUAUGGCAUGUUGAAGUUGGCAUGAAAAACUGGUUAUAUAACUUCGAAAAGUUUGAGUGCUUCAUGGCUGAAAAUGACUUAUAAUGUCCCAAUGAUUUUCAUGACAUUCCAAGCACAUUUUGACCUUGGUUCUUGAAGCAAACUUGUAGAUGGAAUCACAAAUUACAAUGUGCAAAAAUAAUCAGCUCCAUAUGAUAAAAAGUGAAUAAGUUAUGAUCCUUGAAAGUUGGGAAAAAGUCACUUGAAAAUAGGUCAAAUUUCACAAUCCACAAAUGACCUAUAAUGUCUCCCAACUUUUGAUGAUUUUCCAAUCAUAAUUGGCUCUUGUCAUGUAAAUAGAAGUGGUAGAGGAUGUUUAGAAGAGUAAUAUUCAAAAAUAAGCAUUAAAAAAUAUUGAGAAUUGAAGGAGUUGUGAUCUUUUGAACUUUGACUUCAAAAUGUUGACUUUUAGGUCAAACCACUUGGAACAAGCUUAUGUACUUAGACUUUCCUUGAAUUUUAAAGUACAUGGGUGAUCAUAUGAACUCAAGAUAAGAUGUCCUUGAUUUUCUCUUGAUUAAAUUUCUCAAAGCUUGAAGUUUAUUGUUGAAGAAGACAUGGAAAUAAACAUAUGAACCUUUGUCUUUCUUUGAGAAGCAAGCCAUAGAAGUUUGAGAUGUUCUUGAUUUGAAAAGCACUACCUUGCACAAUAGACUUAAGGGAAACAAGACAUAUUUUUGGUAUUUUGAUCAUGUGGUUAGAUAAGCAAUCAAUCAUGUAAACACAAAGGCAAAACAAACCAACAAUGAGGUGUUUGGUGAUCCCUGCAAGAAGCAAACCCAAAUAUGGAUAAGGGAAGGGAGAAGAUGUGAUCUUGUUUGUGUGCAAAUGAUGCAAAUUAUAUGUGGGAUAUUAGGGUUUAAAAAUUAGGGUAUGAAAAUUAGUCCCUCCUUUGGGAGAGUAUUAUGCAUAUCUAGCCAAUCUAACCAGGAUUUUCAUAGAGGAACAACUGGCUACUCUGGCUCGGCAUACCCAUCGUGCUUCUGCUGUCUUAGACCUUGGUAGAACAGGUCGUUGGGAAGUUUUCUGGUCAAACCAAUGACGUGCUGAGAAGCACCGACUAGAGGAAAGUGUUUACAAUUUGAAUCUUCAACAAGAUAGGUACCUAUAGGAAAUAGAUAAUGCUUUUAUCUCUCUUAUCGGGGUAAGAGAUUCUUUGCUCCCCCUUAAUCAUGUUGGUUCUCUCUCUAACCAUGACUCAUCUAGUGAAGACUAUGUCGAGGAAGGACUAGGUUCUAACUUCUAUUUGGGGAAGCUUGUCAUCUGCUCAAGGGGAAUGAUAGUCUUUGCACCUUCAGAAUAUUUCUCUAACUCAACAAUUGUCUGAUUGUACGAGUGCUACCCUUAAGGAAGCUUCCCACUCAUUUGAGAAUAUUUUGUAGUAAGUAGAGCAUUUUCAUCAUUCUCUAGUUUUCUCGAGGGAGAAAAUUUGGUCGGUUCAAAUGUUCAAAGAUGGAUGUAUAAUUUAUUUGAGGAAUUAGCAUUAUCGGCCACUUUUUUAUGUACUUUGCUUGUAGUACUGAUGUAAUGGACGAAUAUAUGUAAAUGUAUUGUAGUUUUUGGAAUGAAAUACUUUGUUUACCUAUUUAAGGUAUAUUCGUGUUAUUCUGAGUGCAAGGCUCUGGAUGUACAUUGGUAUGAUCCUGAGUGCAAGGCUUCGGAGUUAGUAAGAACUUACAAGCUCUUCCCUCAAAGUCUAUUGGACAUCACUGGGGCCAUUCCCGGCCAAGGUUCAGCUCCUCUUUCCCCACAAGAUAAAAAUUUGGUCAGGGGUAGACUUGUGGCCAAACUACCGCAGCCUCUAGAGUGGCUAGCUUCCAGAAAAGGGUGGACUGUUAUUUCUAGUAGGAGAUUGAUUAUUCUAUCCAAAAAUGAAAAACGUCACCAACAGAAACCCCGACACUAGGUGGGGGUUGAUUACUUUAGCUGAACGUACAAGGCAUCUCCCACAAUACCCCUUACUUUAUGUGAGGGAUUGAUUCUUGUAACCUAACAUGCAAAGCGUCUUUGACAACACCCACAACUUUAUGUCGGACAUGCAAAGCGCCUCCGACAGAACCCUUGAAUUUAGGUGGGGUAUUGGUUGCUUUAGUCAGAUGCGCAAAGUGCCUCCGAUAACUGAAGGAGAAUAGCGAUCCAAAACACAAGGGAAUUUAAAUUUUUUCUCCUUUAGUGAUCCUUACAAAUGGGCAUGAUUAGUGAUAGAAUCGUUACCUCUUGUGGUGAUUGAAUCCUUUGAUGCAAAUCUAAGGAGUGAUCACGAACGUUGAAUGGUGACAAUGCCUCUACUCAGUCCACACGAACGGAUUUCUUCAAUUUCAGUGCUAGCUGCUACGAAUAAAGGCUUUGAGAGAGAGAGAGAAAUGAAAUUUUUAGCUGUCCCAAUGCUUCUGCACAAGGGUUCUAUUUAUAGAACCACUUGUGUGGGCUGUAAGCUAAAAAGCUCACUUAAGUGUAUGUGGCCCAUAUCUUAUGAUAUACCAAAGUCACUUAAGCGCGUGGUACCUUACCAUAUUUCAUAUUCUACUUAAGUGCACAGUAUCUUACGAUGUUCUACAAUUCACUUAAGUGCAUUGUACCUUACGGUGUUCCUUAUUUACUCUAUCUCUCAUCAAUCCGUCAUUUUAUGUGUGACCCUGUAGGUUUUCGCGGCAUUGGCAAUUAUAUUAAAUCACGCAUUUAACAUAAUAAACAGUGACCGGUAUCUAGCAACACAUCACUGCUACCCAAGACACGAAAAUUUCAUGUGAUAUGACAAAACCUUUUUGUGAUAAUACUUAUGUGUACAAUUACCCUUUUUCUCUUAUGUCUAUAUUGAACACAAGGCAUAGACCAUGUCAUCCUUGUCCAGUUCAAUAUUGGGCCCGUAGACAUUUAUCUUGUUACGCAGGAUGGCCAAAUUCCAUCUAGGUCACUCAUGUCCCUUAGCAUGUUUCAUGGAGUACCCAUUAACUGUCUUUAUGGUCAUCCAGUUACGGACAACGUUUGAUCAGCAAUAAGGCACUCGACUCUACAUCUAGGGUCCAUAGUAGUUUCAGGUUGAAGGGUGGUAUACAUCAUUAUCACCAUGAGAAUAACUUAUGACACUUUGCAUAACAUUCUAUAUAGUAUUCUCAUAGCGGGUCAAUCCAGUAUAAAUAUUACUCUUAAUAUUCAUACCUAUGUUUAUAUAUAGUAUUCUCAUAGCGGGUCAAUCCAGUAUAAAUAUUACUCUUAAUAUUCAUACCUAUGUUUAAGACUUGAUAACUCCUUAUCCAUGAUCCAUGAGAUGUGAUUAUCAGUCUAUAUACAUAAUAAUCUUAAUAUUUUAAUGUUAUCCAACUUCACAACAAAGCUCUACUAUGGAUACUUUAAGAAUAAUGUCCUUAUGUUUAAUGGGAUCUCAUGAUUAAGUCACACUUGAUACAUUAAACGGACUAGCUAUUCUAGGGACUUUAUUAAACAAACAUAAUAAAGAAAAAUGCCUUUUAUUAUUAAUAAAUAAUUCGAUAUAAGUACCAAAAGUAUUGACCUCUAGGGCUUACACUAACAAUAACAUCCCUGAUUUCUUUAUGUCGGGUUUAGAUCCUGCCAGUUGUAACCUGGAUUUACUAUUAAGAUGCACAACCAUAAAGAAACAAAUAUUUUAGAAAUUAGCAUUUUUCAUUCAUAAUUGAUAGCUCAUGUGUAUGAAGAUGGGAAUUAUAUAACAUUUAGUACUAAACAAGAAAGAAAACAUAAUUGGGCAGAUUAGCUGCCACUUAUUUUCCCUAUUUUACUCCUUAUGGUUCAACCAAGUCUUGGUGGGAGGAUAUUCAUGUCUCGGAGUUGGACAAUCAGGAAUACUACGUUGAUCUCCAUGGCCACACCCUCUCCCUAGUCUCGCUAGAGUUCUUGUUAGAUUCUUUUUGCACCUUUGAGAUCAACGUUGAUGGUGGCUGGUUCUCCCUACAAGUUAUGAUAUUUGAGUUUGAGGUGUAUUAGAGAGGCUACUGAAACUUCAUAUGUGUCUUAUUAGUUUAUCAGUUAAUCUUAUUUUAAUUAUUUUGUUAUUUUAUUUUAUCGUAUUUUUUAGUUUCCUCAUUGAUUAUCUCAUACACGUGAAAGAAACUUUAUUUACGUGCAUAAAAUGAAAUGUUGACUUAAGUCAACUCUGAAUUAUCCUAUUCAAAGGUUAUUGUGAAUAAUUUCAAGAAAGUUGAGUGAUUGAAUAUAUUCAAAAGUAUUGGUGAAUAGAUUCAUGAAAUUUUACAAAAAUUGGUUUUAAUUCCAUUUGCUAUAAUCAAUUCAAAAAAACUGCCUGAUCUUAUUCAAGUGAAUCAAUUCAUAAAAUUCUUGAUCAUAUUCAUGACGGAUUUCUCAAAACCAUGUUUGAUUCUGUUUGCUAAAAUUGAUUCAAAAACACCUCUGAUCCUGAUCAAAUGUUUGUCACGGCUUGGUUCAAAUACAUUGUCUGAUCUUAUUCAGUCUGGUGUUGAUCCUAUUCAACUGUAUGUCUUGAAGUGGUUCAAAUACAAUGUCUGAUCCUAUUCAAACUUGCUUUGAUCCUAAUCAUUUUUUCAACUAACUUUCACCAUUUGAAUUGAUUCAUCAUUAACUUUGAGCAUGAUCAUUGAAGAUGAUUUUCACUCAUUUUUAGUGCAUAUUUCUUGCACAUAUAAAUAACCUUUUCCUCUCUAAAAAUCAAAGAGUGAUCAAAUAUUUUUGAGAAAAUAAAAUGCUUAAAAAAUACACCUUCAUCUCUAUCAAUUCUCCAACUUCAUUUUUUUCAUGGAGAAUCAUCAACUCUUGAUUAUGUGUGACGCUUGAUUAUAAGGAAACAUUAUAGUACUAAUUGUUCAUUGAAGUGUGUAGUUUUCCAGCAUAAUUUUGAUCAUAGGUAAUUCAAGGUUGAAGUUCCUAUAGAGAGAGAGAGAGAGAGAUCUUAUCUAAGUUGUAGAAUUUUUCAUUGUUUCUGUCAACCUGUUCAAGAAGAAGUACUCAAUGCUUGAAAUUCAGUAUCGAGUGAAGAUUAUUGAAUUUUUAAGAUUAAAAAAAUGGAUCCAAGGUUUGAAGCUUGGGAUUGAGUGAAGAUCAACAAGUAUUCAAUAUUGAAGUUUAUCAAAGGUCGAAGAUCAAGAUUCAUGAAAAUAAAGUGGUAGUUAUGGUAGCUUGUUACAAACAUGACUCAAUUAGGAAGCAAUGAAGAAGAUAACUUGGAUUAAGAAGUUUAUCUUUUUUUUUCAUUUAAUUGUUGUAACCAAAAACAAACUCAAAUAUCAUAUUAAUGGAAGAUACAAUUUUUUGCUAAUUUACCAUCGAAGACUAGACGUAGGUGCCUGCGAGGACGAUAUCACCGAAAUAGUAUAUAUAUUAUGGUGCACUCUCUCCUUAUCUCUCUAAAUAUCUUUCUUUAUCAUUCAAGUUGCAUGCUUGUGUUAGCUGUUUCGAUUUAUAGUUUACAAUUACAUUAUUCAUAGGUUUAUUGUGUUCAUAGUUUUAAUUUGUAAAAGCUUAGGUUUGAUAAGAAUUGGUUUUCGAACUAAUCUUGUUAUUGAUUAUUCUGUGAGAAUUGUAAUUAAAUUUGCUUUCGAUUGAUAAAUUGUUAAAAGCAUUAAACAUCUUGUUUGAAGCUUUAACCAUUAAUUAGUAUAAUUUCUAUUAUAUCAUUACAAACCAUUAAUGUGUGUAUAGUGUAACACCAUAAACCUUAAAACUUAUCUAUUAAGCUUUACUCGAUAAUUUAAGGUGUCACCAACGACAAUCCUUUAACAACACAAAUAUUUAAUAAACCUGCAAUGGAAAAAUAUUCACGUUCAUAAAACACAUGCCAUCGCACGCUUACCUUCACUUAGGAUAUCAUUGCGGCAACAUCGUUUAACUCAAAUAAUAAAACUUUGUCAACUCAGACUUCUACUAUCAAUUCCAAUUUAACAUAAAAUAGCUUCCAAAAUAAUGAGUUAUCAUGUGCAACUCUCCACAACUUCAACAAAACACAAAAUAAUCCAAAUAAACUUUAAAUAAAACAUAAUAAGAAAUAAUUGUUCCCAACCCCGAUGUUACAGGAUCAAAGCAACUUCUGGACAACGAUAAACUAAAGAAUUGACUCCAUGAGCUAACUCCCACUUACUGCAGCAAUAUACUCCUGAGUAUCUGCAAGAUGUCCACGGUGGAUAACAUUCAGCAAGAGGGUGAAAAACAACAUUCAAUAUAAAUAGUGUAAAGAAUUCUAAGGUAGAAAAACAUACAACAAAUAUAAGUUCAUUAUACAAUCAACAACCAUAUAUUCUCACACUCAUUUAGCAUAACGUACCCAUCUUUUCAACCAAACGACUACAUCAGGAAUAAUUAACAACAUAUAAAAGCAUGUAUGUAAUGCACUCAAUAAUUGACUCAUUAUGCAUGUGGUACCAAUCAUGAACACUCAGGUUCAUCUCACUCUCGAUCUCCACCAUAGGACCAAAUCGUUACCAUCACCAUAGGUAACGCUUCACCGAUUUCCACCUGAAACCAACUACUCGCACCCGAUCCCUACCACAGGAUCAGAGCAUACCAAAACUGGACCAAGGUCCAUACACCAUGAUGCAUGGCUUUCAACCGCAUGCAAUGUCACCAAAUUAUCACCAAAAUUAUCACAAAAAAUUAUCACCAAAACUAUAACAAAAAUUAUAAUCCAAAAUUAUAACCAAAAUUAUUUUGACAAGAGUGUUUUUAAAGAACUCUUUCUCUACUAUUAUAAAACAAUGUCAUGAAUCCAAAUUUACUAAGAAUCUCUGCUGAUAGCCAAAGUUGUACACCAUUCUAUGCUACAAAUCCAUUUGACUGCAAUUCUUACGCUUAAGAGGAGGUUCAUCACGUUACUAAUUUCUACCGAAUGUCAAUUAAUCUAUUGAAUAUUAUAUGACAAUUAAACAUAAAUAUAUUAUAGUUUUUCAUCAAUUCAUCAUAUUCAUGUGAGAAUAUUCAAGAUCCAGUUUUUUUUAACACUGAAUUUCACAUAAUUUUAUUUUCCUUUUUUUUUCUUUCAUUGACAUAUUAAAAUCAAAAUUAUGCAUACAGUCUCAUAUAAAUAGUUUUCCCCCUUACUUUGUAACUCCAGAAAAUUCAGCAAGAUGAAGUUCAAGUGAUAUAUUCUCUCAAGUCCUACCACUCCUUUUCAAAAACCUUGUUUCUCUAUUUUUCUCUUUUUCACGUACCGAUAGAAUGAGUCUAUUUCCCUAAUAUUCUAGAAUAUAUUAUUCUAAUUGCUUUUGCGUAAUUAUUAUUAUUACCUAACUAAUUUUCAACCUCUUUUCUCUUACCAUAUAUUUCUCUCAAAUCACACAAUUGGCCGAAUUAUCACAUUUCUAUUUUAUUUAAAUAACUCAAGUAUAAUAUUAUUUAUUCUAAGAAUUAAUUAUUUCUAAAUUAAUUCUAUUCACUUCUAAGUUCUCUCCACACACCCACCUCAAUGGCAUAUAAUCCAUUAUCAUAUAAUACACAAUUAAAUCACACAAAAUGCAUAAACAGAUCAAAUAAAAUAAUCUAACCGAAACGAGGUGUUCCGAAACGAGGUGUUACAUGUAGUAUCCAUCUUUUUCUAAUAUCUUAAAACCAUUUUAAAACAUAUUUUUCAUCAUAUUCGUUUUCGCUUGCGUAAUCUGAAUUUUAAAUCGAAAAUAAUGGAUUUUUUAAUUGUCUAUUCAACCCAUUGUUAAUUGCAAAUUGCCUUCUGAAUAUCCUUCUCGUCGCCCAUUGUUAUUCUUAGCUCCAUGUAUCCCCACGGAUGAAUGGUUAUUCCGUUAAAUGCCUACAAAUGCGAGGCUUCAUAUGACCAUAAGUUUCUCCUUUAGAGGUUCAUCUUUUCAAACAUCUUUGAGUAUAUUAUUUUGCAAGAACUUCCAUUGUCAAUUAAUAUCUGGGAGUUGUCGAAUUGCCCAAAUUUGGUUAUGAUUACUAGAGGAAAAGUUUCAUUAGGGACGCCACCCACCUUCUCGAAGUCCCAGAAUCUCAACAAAUGUUGGUCAGGAAUCUUCAUUGAUGUGUUUCUAUCUUUUUUGUGGACAACUAGCAUCUUAGCUAUUUUCUGCUUCAUGGUCCCUUUGGAUGGGAGGUUUACCUGAGGUGCUCCUUCGGUUAUGGCGGAGAUGUACACAUAUUUCCUUUGUUGGCCUCUUUGCUCUCACCAAUGGUUUCGACAUUUACGGUAUUCGAGGGAGAUUUUCCUUUAGACAACUCUUCCAUGUCUCUUUUCCCCAUUGACAUAUUCGACCAGUCAUCCGUCUUGAUCAAUGUUCCAAUGACAUCCUUCAAUUGGAUGUAGUUGUCGGUGUUAUGGUCACGACUUUUAUGAAAGUAACAAUAUGUUGACUUGUUUAUCUAAGAUGUCUCUCUAACUAGGUAAGCGGUCGGAUUCCUCCCUUCUUGAAUUGUGUGUUGAUAUAAUUCUGGUAGAUCUUUUCUCGAGAAACAGUCAGAGAGGUAUACUUGUUGUACUGCCCUUGCAGACUUCGGUCGGAGAUACCCUUCUUUCGGUGGUACUCCUUCUGUAUUGGAUGGAUGGAGUUGGUAUGAGAGGAGACGGGAUUUUCAAAGUGCGUGCUUAACUUCUCUUCCAAUGUCAUGUACGACUUAGCCAUGCUCAACAUUUCUUGAGUGGUUUAAAUUUUCUUCCUUCCCAUAUUUAACUUGAAGGGAUGGUCGUUUAGAAGGCCAUUUUCAAAUAUCCAACACUUAAGCACCUCUUCAACUCAUUCAACUUCAAUGACCACUUGAUUAAUUCGGUCGAUGCAAGACCAUAAUAUUUCCUUCUUACCUUGGACAAUUCCUCUCAAAGUGGAUUCAAUCAUCGAUCAUCGCGUCCGGGCAGUGAAAUGCAUGGAUAUUAGGUCACAAAAAUAAGUCCAUGACUUAAUGAACUCAUCGAGAAGGUCGUUGAACAAUAAUCUGGUUGGUCUGACUAGGGAUAGGGCAAACAACCUGCACUUAGAUGCAUCAUCGACAUUGUAGUAGUUCAACCGCUCCUUGACGAGUUGCAAGUUCUCGUCAGGAUCUCCUUUUCCAUCAUAAUCGCCCAUAUUGGGUGGUUUCUCCAUAGACUUUGGUAUCUUAAUUUCCAAAUAUUUAACACACAAUGGAUAAUUUGGCUUCACCUUCAUCGAUUGAUUUUCUUCCCAAUCUGGGGUAGGGGCAUAACAACCUCUAUCUCCCUCGGUGCUUUAUGAAGGAAUGUGAUGUCUCAUACUCCUCUGCCGAUCUCUUGGUUUAAGAGCUUCUUCCUUCUUUAUCCCAAUUGGCUCCGGAACAACAACACGAAUUCUUCUUGAUACGACUUUCUGGAUGGUGUUUCCUCGUGGAGGCGCAUUGUGAAGGUUUUCUUUAAGGCACAAUAGUCUUUCUUCUAACACACAAAAUUUAUGGUGCUGAACAAUAUUAUACAUGUUAUUCAACAGCACAUUAGCAUCAUGCAGUCCUAGGUUUUCUCGCAGUAACUAGAAACUAGGCAAGAUUUUUUAUUGUGUAAUAGUAGGAGGUGGAAAUGUGGUCCAAUCAGAGGAAAUUCGACAAAUCCAACUAUUUGAGGUGUUUGAACUAGGUCUAGAUGUAACAUAAUCACCAAUUCUAGAUUCACAAAGCUUUGCUGAGGAAGUGAAGGUAGAGGUUGUUGAUUGAUCAUUGUUUGAGAAGUGGAAGCAACUUCACGUACAACGAAGGAUUGAGUAGCUAUGGAUCCAACCAUCACUUGAAAUCAUAGGAAUUAUAGAUCUGGAAGAGAUAUGGAAAUUAAAAGAAAUCAAAGUUGACAUGACUCUCGAUUAUAUUGGGUGUUAAGGAUCUUCAAGUUCAAUUAUGAAUGCUUUUGAUUUAGUGAUCUAAGAAUAUUACAAACUAACUAAUUGGAGAGAGAACAUGGAAUUAUUGUUGGGCUCAAUUUCGAGGGGGGGGGGGCAAUAUGAGGGAAUAUUUUUACUUUGGGGCUUUUCUUUAAGAGCAACACACCUUUGUGAGAGACACACUACAUACUCACCUAAAACCUUAAGGUGAUAUGUGUGUGGGUUCUCUCACUUGUAAAUGCUCAAGUUUCCAUAUUCAUAACCAACGUGGGACUUCCCCAUAAUGCUUACACUUAGACACAACUACAGAAAACACAUAUCACAACAGUUGGAAAAGGGAUACCACCAUACUGAACCAACUGUUGUGAGGUAAGGUGUGAUUGUAUGUACGAUGCUUUCCACCAUGGUCGUGCAUCCAUGGUUAUAAGCUAUGUAGCACGGUACCUACCACAACGGUUACUUUAAACAACCAUUGUGAUAUUCUAUAAUGCAUAAUAUUUAACAACGGUUUGUAUAAACAAUCGUUGUGAAAUAUACAACUGAGUUUAUUAUAAAUUAUAUGAAAUGCUUAUUUCGCCAAUUCUCACUAAACAUAUAACCUUUCAAUAUGAUCUAGAAAAUUAUAAUAUGAUAAAUUAAGUUAUAUUAUAAGAACAAGUUCAAGUUUAAUACUUGACAAGAGUUCCUCAAAUCCUUAUCCACAUUUUUCUCUUUAACAGUUAAAACUUUGUUUAAUGAUUGUAGAUCUCCAAUCGUCCCUUCCUACACCUCUAGUUCAUUUUUCAAAAUAUCAUUUACUUUGCAAACAAAAUUAGAUAUGGAGAGAGGGGUGAUUGAAGAUCUACAAUCACUAAAUAAAGCUCUAACUAUUAAAGAACAAUAUGCAGAUAAAAAACUAAAGAAUUCUUGUCAAGAAUUGAAUGUGUACUUGUUUUCUAAUAUAACUUUAUCUAUCUUAUUAUAAUUUUCUAAUGCAAUCUAAAAAGUUAUAUAUUCGAUAAGAGAUUGGAAAAAUACUCAAACCACAUAAUAUAUAAUAAACUCAUAUUUUAAGCAAACAUUAACAACAACAUUCAUCAACAACAAACCAUAAACAACAUACAUGAUACAACAAAAAUAUCAAAUCAAAGAAUGUUUCAGAAUCUUACAUGUCCCAUGAUGGCAUCCACAAUGAAAUAAGGAUGAAGCUGAAGUUAGAAUUGCAAACUUGUGUCUAUUUUGAAUGGAUGUCAUUCUGGGUCUUUCACACAAGUUUGCAACGUUCACUUUAACUUUGUCCUCGUUAUUGAAAUAAGCAUCCCUACCUACAUAAUGAAACAAGCAGGAAGUUGAAACAUGAUGACACAUAAACAAUAAUAGAGAAACUAAUUUUGAAAUAUAAUUUAUAGUGAAGUCGAACCUGUAAAAUAACCAUUUGCUAAGAUUUGAUAAAAGAAAGGAAACCUUCGAAUAAGACGAGUUGGCGGGAGAAGAUUGGGGUUUCAAUAUAAGAGAGACAAGAUACAAAGAUGUUAGGGUUUAGUUUUGAGAGAGACGAGUGAAAGAGAUGUUAGAGUUUUGUUUUGAGAGAGACGACUGUAAUGAACUGAAAGAGAGAUAAUUUUUCUCAUAUAUAAACCAGUAACAUCUUUCAUCACGGUUGACAAUGAUAAGUAUGACGAAAUAAUUGAAACUUACACCACGGUUGAUUAUAAAAAUUAUGGUGAUAUACAAGGCCAAACACAUUAUGUCACAAUAAAUGGAAAAUUGUUGGUGCUGAGAUUUGAACCAUUUUACUCCAGAUACCUUUCACUACAGUUGAUACCUAUGACCGUUGUGAAAUGUCCUUUUGUAAAUACAAAAAAAAAGUGCUAAAAAAACUAUUACAAUGGUUAACAGGAAGACCGCUGUAAAAUUGGUGUUACGAAAGGUCUAUUUUGUAGUAGUGGUAAUUCUUUUUUAACACUUUCCCUCAAAUGUGAAUCCACAAUUCUCCUCAUUAAGUGGAAACUUUUUUAUCCACAUACACGUGUACCAUCGUUGACACUUUUCAAUGGGCUACCUCCUUCCCAGUAGGGAGUUUCAAUAUAAGUAAGUUGAUCCCUUUACUUGAACCAAAGGCUCAUGAUACCAUUGUUGGGGUUACAAAUCGAAGGGUGUCAACACGAGGGAGCAUUUUUACUCUGGGGAUUUUCUUUAAGAGUAACACACAUUUGUGAGAGACACACCACAUACUUACCCAAAACCUUAAGGUGAUAUGUGUGUGGAUUCUCUCACUUAUAAAUGCUCAAGUCUCCACAUUCAUAACCAACGUGGGACUUCCCUACACUACUUACACUUGUACACUAUUACUGAAAACACAUAUCACAAUGGUUGGAAAAUGGAUACCACCAUGCUGAACCAACCAUUGUGAGGUAAGAUGUGAUUGUAUGUACGAUGCUUUCCACCAUGGUCAUACGUAUGUGAUUAUAACCAAUGUAGCAUGGUACCUACCAUAACAAUUACUUUAAACAACCGUUGUGAUAUUCUAUAAUGCAUAAUAUUUAAUAAUGGUAUGUAUAAACAAUCGUUGUGAAAUAUACAACUGAGUUUAUUAUAAAUUAUGUGGAAUACUUAUUUCGCCAAUGCUCACUAAACAUAUAACUUUUCAAUCUGAUCUAGAACAUUAUAAUAUGACAAAUUAAGUUAUAUUAUAAGAACAAGUUCACGUUCAAUACUUGACAAGAGUUCCUCAAAUCCUUAUCCUUAUUUUUCUCUUUAAUGGUUAAAACUUUGUUUAAUGAUUGUAGAUCUUCAAUCGUCCCUUCCUACACCUCUAGUUCAUUUUACAAAAUAUCAUAUACUUUGCAAACAAAAUUAGAGGUGGAGAGAGAGGCGGCUGAAGAUUUACAGUGACUAAAUAAAGUUAUAAGGAUUAAAGAAUAAUAUGCAGAUAAAAAACAAAAGAAUUCUUGUCAACAAUUGAACGUGUAAUUGUUUUCUAAUAUAACUCUAUCUAUCAUACUAUAAUUUUCUAAUGCAAUCUGAGAAGUUAUAUAUUCGGUAAGGGUUUGUAAAAACACUCAAACCACGUAAUAUAUAAUAGACUCAUCUUUUAAGCAAACAUCAACAACAACAACAUUCAUCAAUAAGAAAUUAUAAACAACAUACAUGAUACAACAAACAUAUCAAAUCAUAGAAUGUUUCAAAAACUUACAUGUCCCAUAAUGGCAUCCACAGUGAAAUAAGAAUGAAGUUGAAGUUAGAACUGCAAACUUGUGUCUAUUUUGAAUGGAUGCCAUUAUGGAUCUUUCACCCAAGUUUGCAACAUUCACUUUAGCCUUGUCCUCGUUAUUGAAACAAGCAUCCCUACCUAUAUAAUGAAACAAGGAGAAAGUUGAAACAUGAUGAAACAUAAACAAUAAUAGAUAAACAAAUUUUGAAACAUAAAUUAUAGUAAAGACAAACGUGUAAAAUAAACAUUUGCUAAGAUUUGAUGAAAUAAAGGAAACCUUCGAAGAAGACGAGUUGGUGGGAUAAGAUUGAGGUUUCAAUAUAAGAGAGAUGAGAGACAAAGAUGUUAUGGUUUAGUUUUGAGAGAGACGGUGAAAGAGAUGUUAUGGUUUUGUUUUGAGAGAGACGACUGUCAAGAACUAGAAGAGAGAUAAUUUUGCUCAUAUAUAAAUAAGUAACAUCUUUCGUCAUGGUUGACAAUGAUAACCGUGAUGAAAUGAUUGAAACUUACACCACAAUUGAUUAUAAAAACCGUGGUGAUAUACAAGGCCAAACACAUUAUGCCACAAUAAAUGGAAAAUUGUUGGUGUUGAUAUUUGAAUCAUUUUACUCCAGAUACCUUUCACUAUGGUUGAUACCUAUGACUGUUGUGAAAUGUCCUUUCGUAAAUACAAAAAAAAACCUAAAAAAAACUAUUACAACGGUUAACAGGAAGACCGUUGUAAAAUUGGUGUUACGAAAGAUCUAUUUUGUAGUAGUGGUAAUUCUUUUUAACACUCUCCCUCAAGUGUGAGUCUAUCCACAAUUCUCCUCACCAAGUGGAAACUCUUUUAUCCACACACACUUGUACCACCGUUAACACUUUCCAACGGGUCACCUCCUGUCCAGUAGGGAGUUUCGAUACAAGUAAGUUGAUCCAUUCACUUGAACCAAAGGCUCAAGAUACCACUGUUGGGGCUAUAAAUCGAGGUGUGUCAACACGAUGGAGCAUUUUUACUAUGAAGAUUUUCUUUAAGGGCAACUCACCUUUGUGAGAGACACACCACAUACUCACCCAAAACAUUAAGUGAUAGGCGUGUGGAUUCUCCACAUAUUUCUAACAAUCCGGGACUUCCCCACACUACUUACACUUGUAAUUCUUUUUUCACAAUUAUGGAAAAUGCAUGAAUCAAAAGUCGAUUCCACAGACGUCGCCAUUCUUUCCUUUUGGAACCAGAAAUAGGGUGACGGUAAAUAUGAGCUUCCAUCAUGGUCGAGAUGGAAGAUCUGCAAGAUUAACACUCAAACACUCAAGUUUGUAUGUGAGUAAAAAAAAUGAAUUUAAAUUUUGUUUGAAACUUGUCACCUCAAUUUGCUGCUUUCUCUAUAUAUAGAGAGAAAAUAACGAAUUCGCUGUUUGUUAAGAGUGGAUUGUAGAGAGUCGUUAGGUGCAUUUGUAAUUGAGAUCAAUGUUAGCGUCAUAUGGAUAAUUCUGAAAUGUUAAAAAUAUUUUAGAAGAAUUACUAUUCCUUUAAGAUAAUUGACCGGUGUCGAUAUAACUUAUCCAUAACAUAUAUCACUUUCAUAAAUUUUAUAAUUUUAAAAUAAUAUAUAAAUAUAUAUUCAUGACAUAAAAUUAAAUAAAUUCACUGAUCAAGUAUUAAUCUAGUUUUUAGUAAUAAAAUAAAGUUGGUUAAUAAAAAUUAAAAAAUUAAUUAAUAAAAGGAUGAAGUUGAUUACAAAUAAUUUUUAACAUUAAAACAAAGUUGAUUAAUUAAAUAUAAAAUAUUAAUUAAUAAAAUUAUGGAAUUGAUAAUCUGAUAUCCUUAAUUUAAAAUAAAAUAAAAUAAAAUAAAAUAAAAAUUAUAUCAAAAAUAAAUAAAUUUAUUAUUAUAAUAUUUCUUUGUUCAUCAUUGAUGAACAGUAAAAUAAGAAUGUAGAUAUAACUUUAAUGUCAAAAUAGAUUUUUGUGAAUAUAUGUCCCCGAAUCAUUUCUUAAAUAUACGGUCGUUGACUCUGGAAGUAGGUUUGAAGAAAAAGUGGUAGCCUUAGGGUUUAGAAAGAAAGAAAAAUAAGUUACUAUUAGUAUCAGUGGUGGUGGUUUUCCCCGCAAGGCACGGGCCAAAUUUUCCUAGUCUCAAUUUUAUACGACUCUUAGAUUCCAAUAUCCUUUAUCAUUUGAUGUUCCCAAAUUUCCAACGGGGACUAUGGGGGACUUAGUCUUACCUCAGGCGCUGAGAAACACGCAUUGCUAUACCAAGCAUCUAACUAUAGUAUAAACUGUAAGAGCAUUCAUCCAUAGAUUAUAGUAUUAAGUAUUAAUAUGAUAUAAUCCACAUUUUUACCUUUUUCAUAUACCUACUCAAUAAAUUAUAUUAAGUAUUAAUGAUGAAAUCAAUUUAAUAUUUUUUUAGGUGGCUUGCUUAAUUAAGUGUUUAUAAGAGUAACUCCAUUUCUUUUUAUAAAAGGUAAAGACAAAUAUCGAACAAUUAAAAUAUUUAAUCUGAAAAAUAAUUUGUCUAUGUACUAGUGAUAAAUACAAUGAUGUAAAGCAAGAGAGUUUCAAGUGAAUCAUUUCCAAUAACUUGUGAGGGUUGAGAUAUUCAUAGCCAUGAUUUACGUCUUAAGUUGUGGGUUAAGAACCAAUUUCAAUCUCAAUUAUUUGGCUAAAAUGUGGAGAUAUGAAGACUUAAUUCUUCUUCAUUCAAGGAGGAGGGAUAAUUUUUUCCCUGAAGUGGUGAUAAUGACAAUUUUUACUCAUAUGGAUUGGUAUGACAAGUCUUCACGCAUCUUUAGCUUGAUCUAUUGGUAUUGAGUCAGGAAAAUCACACCAUAGGUAGGGGUGUAUGUAGAUUGAGUUUGAUCGGAUUUGCCCUAACCCAUUAUCCAACUCAUUCAAACUUUAAUGGGUUGGAUCCGUCGUCCAGCCCGCAAUUUCAUUGUCAAAACCAACCCGAACCGACCCGUUCAUUAAUGGAUUGGGUUGGGUUGGGUUGGGUUCGUGGGUUGUGUUUCAAAUAAAAAAUAUAUUUUUUAUGUUCCUUUUUGUCGGUUUUAUAAAAAUAUAACACAACUCAAUACAAUGAUACUCAAUUAUAACACUCAAAUUCAAUGAAACACAUUAUAUAAUAUCUAAUAAAAUUCAUCAAUACGACGUAACACUUUUAAUAGUAUAAAAUUUAACAAGAUACAUUAUUUCCAUAAAAUACAUAAGUUGACAAUGAUACAAAAAAAAAAUAAGAAACAUUUAAUCUUAGAAUUAGGUAAACUAAUUGGUCAAGUAGUAUUGUUGGUGGAGAAUAAAUUUUUUUGAUUUUUUUUUUGUUAUUAGUUAGAUAUUAAUUUGUUAUUUCUAUUUAAAAUAAUAAGAAAAUAUUAAAGACACAUCAACGGGUUGGGUCAACGAGUCUGCGGGUUUCAAAACUCAAACCUGAUACCUGAAUCAAAACUAUACGAGUUGUUAUGGGUUGGGUUGAAUAUACCCGUAAAUGAAUGAGUUCGGGUAAUUUAUGGGUUAGUUGGAUUGGGUCAGCGGGUUUGUGGGUCGACCCGUACCCAUGAACACCCCUAACCAUAGGUGAGGCGGUGAAGGUCAGGCGCGCUCAUGUGUCCGCCACGUGAGGUCUCCCUUAACCUCCUUUCGACCUCUUAUGGCAGUUUGAGGCCAACUUAAGCACAAGUUUGUCUCUUUUAAGGCCCACUCAAAAUUAUCUCAAUCCACAAUUCCUCAAGCACGAGGUUUGGAAAAGGCAAAUUUAUUUAAACAAGGGAGACAAUAAUCCCUUUUCAAACGAGAUUUGAAAAGGCGGGUGUUAGAGACCAAUUAGUACUACUUUUUAUAUAAUUUUAUUGGUCCCUUUUACCAAUUUUUGAUGUAAUUACACACUUUUAUUCUCACAAUUUUGUAUAAAUGCAAUUAGGUUUAAUUGAUGUUGUUUUGAGUGGUUAUUUUAAUUACACACUUUUAUUCUCACAAUUUUGUAUAAAUGCAAUUAGGUUUAAUUGAUGUUGUUUUGAGUGGUUAUUUCACGUAUUUGUUAGUUUUGUAGAAUUUUUGGACAAGAGAGCUUCGGAAUGCACAAUCAUAAUUUGGAAGAAGUGUUGAAUGCAAUUUGGAGGCCUAUUUUUGAAGAUUAACACUUGGAAGAAUAAUUGCAUGAAGCUUGCAAGGCAAGGAAGCUGAAGUAGCUUCAGUUCGCGCCGCGAUCUCCCUUUGCGCCGCGAACCUUGCGAAUCCAGCAAGCUGUUUUGGCCAAGUGUUCUGUUUUCAAUGUCAGCUGCGUAUGACAUUUAUGUAUCUGUUUUAGGGGGCUUUUUAGUUUUAGAUGUAAAUGAGCAUUUUAGGAAAGGUCAACCCUUUUAGAAAACAGAAUGGAAAAUGUUCAUUCAUUGAUUCGUAGUUUGAUAUUUUGUAAGAGAAAAACAGAGUUCUUAUCAUUGCCUUUUGCUUUCCAAAAUGAUGAUGAGGAGCUAAACCCCAUUUUGUCAAGAUUGGAGGUAGUAGCUAUUCUUAUUUGUUUAUGUAUUUCAAUUGACUCUUAUAUAUGAUAAAAGAUUGUUGAUGUAUUGAAUGAUAUUUUUGCCCAAUUGAAUAUUAGAUUUGAGUAGUUGUUGAAAGAGAUUAUUUAAGUCUUGACAUAAAAAAUAUAUUUCAAGUAGUGAAUAAGUUGUAGAAAUAGAUUAUUCACUACUCUUCUUGUAUCACAUUAAAGAUUGCUAUAUUGAUAGUUAGGUGGAGAAAUCGUCUAAAGAUUAAUAUAGUGAUUAUCACAAUAUCAUUUAGACAUAAAUGAUAUUGAGAGGAUACUUGAACAUCAUCAAUAAUAUUAAAUCUAUUUAGUUGUCAUAAGGAAUCAUAAGCAAUUUGAAUAGUGAACUCCAAUCUUGCCAAGCCUUUUACAUUUGAUUAAAACUAUUUUAUUGUUUUAAUGACAUUUUACUCAAAAGAUAACUUUUCAAACAAAAUAACUUGGUUACAUUCUAAACUUAUAACAAUUUGGAUUAUAGAACGGCGGUAAUAACAACCAAUCUUUGUGGAUACGAUAUUAAAAUAUUUGCCGAAAAUAUACUUUUCAACAAAUUGGCGUCGUUGUCGGGGAUUGGUGUUCGAUAUUACAAGCAUUGCAAUAAUUCAUUGUUUUAAGUUUUUUACUUACUAUCACUCUUGUGUUUCACUUGGUUUGUUAGUUUUGUAGAUUCUAGUGCAUGCGAGGAAAAGCUACCGAGGAGCAAUUUCAAUUCGACCCCGAAAUUGAAAGAACACUUCGAAAGCUCAAUAGCAAAACACGAAGAAGAAGGAAACUAGCCGAAGAGAGGAACCGGAGAGANNNNNNNNNNNNNNNNNNNNNNNNNNNNNNNNNNNNNNNNNNNNNNNNNNNNNNNNNNNNNNNNNNNNNNNNNNNNNNNNNNNNNNNNNNNNNNNNNNNNNNNNNNNNNNNNNNNNNNNNNNNNNNNNNNNNNNNNNNNNNNNNNNNNNNNNNNNNNNNNNNNNNNNNNNNNNNNNNNNNNNNNNNNNNNNNNNNNNNNNNNNNNNNNNNNNNNNNNNNNNNNNNNNNNNNNNNNNNNNNNNNNNNNNNNNNNNNNNNNNNNNNNNNNNNNNNNNNNNNNNNNNNNNNNNNNNNNNNNNNNNNNNNNNNNNNNNNNNNNNNNNNNNNNNNNNNNNNNNNNNNNNNNNNNNNNNNNNNNNNNNNNNNNNNNNNNNNNNNNNNNNNNNNNNNNNNNNNNNNNNNNNNNNNNNNNNNNNNNNNNNNNNNNNNNNNNNNNNNNNNNNNNNNNNNNNNNNNNNNNNNNNNNNNNNNNNNNNNNNNNNNNNNNNNNNNNNNNNNNNNNNNNNNNNNNNNNNNNNNNNNNNNNNNNNNNNNNNNNNNNNNNNNNNNNNNNNNNNNNNNNNNNNNNNNNNNNNNNNNNNNNNNNNNNNNNNNNNNNNNNNNNNNNNNNNNNNNNNNNNNNNNNNNNNNNNNNNNNNNNNNNNNNNNNNNNNNNNNNNNNNNNNNNNNNNNNNNNNNNNNNNNNNNNNNNNNNNNNNNNNNNNNNNNNNNNNNNNNNNNNNNNNNNNNNNNNNNNNNNNNNNNNNNNNNNNNNNNNNNNNNNNNNNNNNNNNNNNNNNNNNNNNNNNNNNNNNNNNNNNNNNNNNNNNNNNNNNNNNNNNNNNNNNNNNNNNNNNNNNNNNNNNNNNNNNNNNNNNNNNNNNNNNNNNNNNNNNNNNNNNNNNNNNNNNNNNNNNNNNNNNNNNNNNNNNNNNNNNNNNNNNNNNNNNNNNNNNNNNNNNNNNNNNNNNNNNNNNNNNNNNNNNNNNNNNNNNNNNNNNNNNNNNNNNNNNNNNNNNNNNNNNNNNNNNNNNNNNNNNNNNNNNNNNNNNNNNNNNNNNNNNNNNNNNNNNNNCAUGGUUUUGAUGAGCUCACUCAAAUCCAUAUUUUUCUAAAUGGGCUCCAAUCAACUCACAAGACACUUUUGGAUGCUACCGCGGGUGGCUCUCUUAUGUCAAAGAAUGCGGAAGAAGCUAAAGUCAUUAUUGACCGGAUGGCACUCAAUGAUCGUCAAAGUCAACAUGACUGUAGUCCUUCACAACGUAAACCGGGAGUUCUUGAGUUAAAUACCAAUGAUGUCAUUCUUGCUCAAAACAAGCUACUUUCUCAAUAAGUGGAGUUGCUUACUCAACAAAUGGCCAAGCUUCCACAACAAAUGAAGGAAAUUCAAGGGUCUCAAGUUCGACAUCAAGUAGCAUGUUGCGAAUUAUGUCAAGGAGAUCAUCCAACCGGUUUUUGCCCUCCACUAGAAGAAGUGAGUUAUGUGAACAAUCAAAAUCAAGGCUAUCAAAGACAACCUCCCAAUAACUCAUAUCCAAGAAACAAUCAAGGUUAUCAACCAUUAAGGUUCAAUGACCAAAAUUUUCAGCAACAAAGUCCUUAUCAACACCCAAACUCUCAAGGACAACAAUCGCAAGGAGGAAAUUCAAAGCUAGAAGACACUCUUCAACAAUUCAUGCAAGCCUCCAUGGCAAAUCAGAAGAGCAACGGGGCAGCAAUUAAGAAUUUGGAAAAUCAAGUGGGCCAACUUGCGAAGCAAUUGUCGGAACAAAACGCGGGAUCCUCUUUUUCCGCUAACACUCAAACUAAUCCAAAGGAGCAUUGUAAAGCAAUUGUCACGAGAAGCGGUAAAGCGUUGACAAGUGGAAAAAGUGAGGAAAUUACAGUAGAGAAUGAUAUGGAUGUUGUACUGGAAAAUGAGGAUGUGGUUUGUGGAAAGGAAAAGGUGGCAGGAACUCUUCAGUUCACGCUGCGAUCUCCCUUCGCGCCGCGAAAAGAGCAGGAUCAGCAAAUGAUAACAGAACAGCAGGACGAGGUAGAAAGAAAGAAGGAAGCAGAGCCAAGAAAGAAGAAGAAAGGAGAAAAAGGUGUGAGCGUCAUUCCAACCCAACAUCUACCCUAUCCACAUGCACCAUCAAAGAAGGACAAUGCUAGACAUUAUGCACGGUUCAUGGACAUAUUCAAACAACUUCAACUCAAUAUUCCAUUUGCCGAUGCAUUAGAGCAAAUGCCACGGUAUGCAAAGUUCAUGAAGGAUAUUCUCACAAAGAAAAGGAGACAUGUGGAAGACGAAACCAUCUUGCUUGAUGCACGUUGUAGUUCCAUCAUCCAAAAAACUCUUCCAAGGAAGGAAUCCGAUCCGGGCCGAGUCGUUUUACCGGUAACCAUUGGAGGCACCUACAUUGGUAAUGGUUUGGUUGACUUGGGAUCUAGCAUCAAUUUAAUCCCCCUAUCCAUUGUUAAAAGAUUGGGAAAUAUUGAGAUCAAAUCUACAAGGAUGACUUUACAACUAGCCGACAAAUCUACCACUUCACCAUAUGGAGUUGCUCAAGACAUGCUAGUGAAGGUGGAUAAAUUCUUGUUUCCGGUAGAUUUCGUGAUAGUAGAGAUGGAUGAGGAUCGUGAUGUUCCUCUAAUUCUUGGAAGGCCAUUCAUGAAAAUAGCCCGGAUGAUGAUUGACAUUGAUGAUGGACUGAUGAAAUUGAGAGUGCAAGAUGAAGAGGUGACCUUCAAUCUUUUUGAAGCCAUGAAGCAUCCUAAUGACAAGCAUGAUUCUUUCCGAAUCGAUGCAAACGAAGAAGAAAUAGUGGAGGUCGCAAACCAAGUUCAUAUCUCUAACCCGUUAGAAAGAUCUCUUAUUGGAACCUAUAAUGUUUUGACCGAAAAUGAAGAAAAAGAGAUUGAAGCAAUGUUGCAUGAAUUAGAGUCUUGUGGGGAGCUUGUUUAUCAUGAAGAAACAAACGAAGACUUGGAUGCGACAAAGAAAAUGGAGGAACCAAAAUUGGAGUUGAAAAUGCUACCUUCACACUUGAAGUAUGUGUUCCUUGGUGAUGAGUAUACUAAACCGGUGAUCAUUAGCAACACCUUGUCCACAAAAGAGGAAUACAAAUUGAUACAAGUGCUGAAAAAGAAUGAGGGUGCAAUAGGGUGGGUGUUAUCCGACUUGAAGGGUAUUAGUCCGGCUUAUUGUAUGCAUAAGAUCAUGAUGGAAGAAAAUUUCAAACCCGUUGCACAACCUCAAAGGCGUCUAAAUCCAUCAAUGAAAGAAGUAGUUCGGAAAGAAGUUGUCAAACUCUUGGAAGCCGGAAUGAUUGAAGCCGGAAUGAUUUAUCCUAUCUCCGAUAGUGCAUGGGUGAGUCCGGUGCAAGUAGUUCCCAAAAAAGGUGGCAUGACGGUUAUCAAAAAUGAUAAAAAUGAGUUGAUUCCAACAAGAACGGUAACCGGGGUGGAGGAUGUGUAUUGACUAUAGAAGGCUAAACCAAGCUACAAGGAAAGAUCACUUCCCACUAUCUUUCAUGGACCAAAUGUUGGAAAGGUUAGCCGGCAAUAAUUUCUAUUGUUUCUUGGACGGGUAUUCGGGGUACAACCAAAUUUCGGUCAAUCCGGCGGAUCAUGAGAAAACGGCUUUUACAUGUCCUUUUGGCAUCUUUGCUUACCGAAGAAUGCCUUUUAGGUUAUGUAAUGCACCGACAACAUUUCAAUGGUGUAUGCAAGCGAUAUUCUCGGAUUUAAUAGAAGAAUGCGUUGAGGUGUUCAUGGAUGAUUUUUCCGUUUAUGGAUCGUCUUUUGAUUUGUGCUUAAAACAUCUUGAUGUGGUUUUGGGAAGAUAUGUGGAGACCAACUUAGUGCUCAAUUGGGAAAAAUGCAACUUUAUGGUCACCGAAUGUGUUGUACUCGGUCACAAGAUCUCCUCCGAAGGAUUAGAAGUUGACAAAGCAAAGGUGGAAGUCAUCGAGAAAUUACCACCUCCAACAAAUAUAAAAGGAAUAAGGAGCUUUCUCGGACAUGCCGGUUUCUACCGGAGAUUCAUCAAAGAUUUUUCAAAGAUAGCAAAGCCAUUGAGCAAUUUGCUCAACAAAGGUACGCAUUUCCUUUUCGAUGAGUCGUGUCUAAAAGCUUUCCUUGAUUUGAAAGAAAAGUUAGUCACUGCACCCAUAAUCAUUGCACCAAAUUGGGCACUUGAUUUUGAACUUAUGUGUGAUGCAAGCGAUUAUGCGGUUGGUGCGGUGUUGGGUCAAAGAAGAGAUAAACAAAUUCAUGCUAUCCAUUAUGCUAGUAAAGUGUUAAAUGAGGCGCAAGUCAAUUAUGCGACAACUGAAAAAGAAUUACUAGCUAUAGUGUACGCAUUGGAAAAGUUUAGAGCUUACUUGAUAGUGUCUAAAGUUGUAGUCUACACCGACCAUUCGGCGAUCAAAUAUUUGUUAACCAAGCCGGAUUCCAAACAAAGAUUAAUUCGUUGGAUUCUCUUAUUGCAAGAGUUUGACAUGGAAAUCCGGGAUAAAAAAGGUCCCGAAAACUUGGUGGCGGAUCAUUUGUCUCGUUUGGUUAAUGUGGACACUACAAACAAAGAAGAGGAAGUAAGAGAAGAAUUUCCGGAUGAAAAAUUGUAUGCGAUUCAAGUGAGGCCUUGGUUUUCCGAUUUUGCUAAUUACAAGGCAACCGGUUUAACACCGGAAGACCUCACUAGUAAUCAAAGAAGGAAAUUCUUGGCGGAUGCAAAAUAUUAUGUGUGGGAUGAUCCUUAUUUGUUUAAAGUGGGUGUUAAGACAAUAUUUGAGAAGGUGUGCUAAACAAUUGAGGAGUCAAAGACAUCCUUUUGCUAUUGUCACAACUCUCCGUAUGGAGGUCACUAUAUCGGUUUGAAACAACAUAAAGGUGCUCCAAUCGGGCUUUUAUUGGCCAUCUUUAUUGGAAAGAUGCAAUGAACACGCGAGGUUGUGAUACAUGCCAACGGAUGGAGGAAUAGGCAAACGGGAUGAAAUGCCUCUAACCAACAUGCUAGAAGUAGAAGUUUUUGAUUGUUGGGGUAUUGAUUUCGUUGGCCCAUUCCCCUCUUCUUUCUCAAAUGAGUAUAUCCUAGUGGCCAUUGACUACAUUUCUAAGUGGGUGGAAACAAUUGCUUCACCUAAGGCCGAUGCCAAAAUAGUGAUCAAAUUUUUAAAGAAAAACAUAUUCUCACGUUUUGGUGUGCCUAGGGUGUUAAUAAGUGAUGGAGGAUCACACUUUUGCAACACACCUUUAGAAAAAGUUUUGCAAUAUUAUGGUGUAAAGCACAAGGUGACCACUCCCUACCAUCCACAAGCGAAUGGUCAGACGGAGGUUUCUAACCGGGAAGUCAAGCGGAUUCUUGAAAAAACAGUCUUGAGUUCAAGGAAAGAUUGGUCAUUAAAACUGGAUGAAGCUUUAUGGGCGUAUCGUACCGCAUACAAAGCACCUAUUGGACUAACUCCAUUCCAAAUGGUGUAUGGGAAGACUUGUCAUCUUCCGGUGGAAAUGGAGCAUAGAGCAUUAUGGGCUCUCAAAUUCUUGAACUUUGACUCCACUUUAGCUGGAGAAAGAAGAAAAGGACAGCUCCAUGAAUUGGNUGGGCUCUCAAAUUCUUGAACUUUGACUCCACUUUAGCUGGAGAAAGAAGAAAAGGACAGCUCCAUGAAUUGGAGGAAUCAAGGAACAACGCUUACCAUUCGAAUAAACUUUACAAGGAAAAGGUAAAAGCAUAUCAUGAUGGAAAGGUUCGUCAUAAAGAGUUUCAAGUUGGACAAAUGGUACUGCUUUUCAACUCAAGGUUGAAGUUGUUCCUUGGUAAACUGAAGUCAAAGUGGUCAGGACCGUUUGUUGUCAAAGAGGUGCGCAACUAUGGGGCCAUUGUGGUCGAGGAUCCAAAGUCACAGGAGAGCUAGACUGUAAAUGGACAAAGACUCAAAGUCUACCAUAGUGGCGAAGUGAAUCGGGAUGUUUGUGUCAUCUCCCUAACCGGACCGAGCUAAUCAUUGAACCGUCGAGCUCAAAACGACGUUAAACAAAGCGCUUGUUGGGAGGCAACCCAACGUUGUAAGUCUGCAUUCUAUAUUUUGUCAAUUCUGAUUGUUAUGAUAUUCUGUUGUGUUAAUUUUUAAGAAACUUGAGUUCUGUCCACUGCAAUUAGAAUUUUUCAAAAAUUCCUUCAGUUCGCCCCGCGAUCAGCUUUCGCCUCGCGAACUGAAUGGAAAGUUUCAGUUCGCGCCACGAACAAAGUUCACCCAGCGAACUGAGCAUGGCAGAACCACUUAAGUUCUGUUUAGGUUAUUUUUUAGUUUACUCUUAUUUUCACAAACUGAAUUUGUUCUUCAACAACCCCACUACCCCAAGUUCAAAACUCAAAAUUUUCCUCUCCAUCUCCCAAAUCCCAACUUGUCAGCAAAGAACCAAGUCAAUUUCAACAAGGUAUGUUUGUUCUCUUCCCACUCCUUUUUGGUUUCUCACUUAGGUAAGAAUAUGGUUUUGCAAAGAUUGGAAUUUGAUAUUAGAGAUAACCUUGCAUGUCUAAAGUGGAUUCAUAUUAGGAGUAGGUUAGGGAUUGUGAUUAUGACUGUUGGUGGUGCAAACCUUAGGAACCCUAGAAGGCACCUGGAAUUUUCCUGGUUCGCAGGGUUCGCGCCGCGAACUAGGAAAUUCCAGUCUCAUGUUUUAUACUUUUGAUUGCUAACUCCCCUUAUGGUUUGUUGUGUGGUUGUUCUGAUUUUUAUUGCAGAUGUCUAAAAGAACAAAAACCAUGUAUUCCGGUCCUUCUCUUUCAUUGAGACGUUUCACAAGUGAUGAACAUGAAGAAAGAUUUGACAAAUUAAUUAAGCGAACCAUCCAACCCGAGAGAUUCAUCCGCUUGUCGCCGGGUGGAACUUAUCGGAAUUUGGUAUCGAAUUUUGAGAGGAGAAGAUGGAGCAAGUUUUGUGAACCAGAGUCGGCAAUAAAUUACGAUAUUGUGCGAGAGUUUUAUGCCAAUGCUCUGCAUCUUGAAGAGGGAGUAACUUUUCAUUAUCAAACAAGAGUGAGAGGCAAGAUUAUUUCUUUCAAUAGAGAUGCAAUUAACACGUAUCUAUGUAAUCCUCUCACCUUGGGGGAGAAUGAGCGGUGCGAGUAUCGUGCCAAGGAAUUGGCCAACGAUUGGGACCUUCCAAUGAUGAGCGCUACCUUAUGCCUUGAAGGAAGGACAUAUGACUUAAAUGAUCAAGGAUUCCCAAAGUCAUGGAAGAGAGAAAGUUUGAAUCUGGAGGCAAGAGCAUUUUUGGUGCUGAUGUUGAACAAUAUCCGGCCAAGGAACCACAACACCACUAUCCCUUUGGAUGUAGGGUGUUUGUUGUAUUACAUCAUGAUUGGAAAAUCUGUUGAUGUAGUAUCCAUUAUUGCGGGGGAAAUGCGCAAAGUGGCUACGAGCGGAACGAAGUUUGGUGGUAAAGCAUGUGUUCUUGCAUAUCCGGGGCUGAUUAUGGGACUUUGCCGAAGGGCGCAUGUUCCCAUUCCGGAUGAGGUACAUUUGUCUAUUACUAGUGUUAUUAAUGAUGCUUAUCUGAAUAGGUUCUUCCAGAGCCAAAUGGACAGAGCCGAAGGAGCUGGGACUUCGUCCUCUAGACCCCGAGCCCGCACUACUCCAGCAUUCGAUCAGAUGGCGUUUGCUAAUUAUUGUUGUGAGAGCUUUGAGGCCUCUAGGAGGUUAGAGCCGAAGGAGCUGGGACUUCGUCCUCUAGACCCCGAGCCCGCACUACUCCAGCAUUCGAUCAGAUGGCGUUUGCUAAUUAUUGUUGUGAGAGCUUUGAGGCCUCUAGGAGGUCUCAAUCAUUCACCUUUGAUGCUAUACAACAACAAUUUCAUAACACUUUCCUUGCACCUGAAGCCCGCACAUUUCCUUCCCAGGUGGAAUAUGUUGCUUAUGCUAAUUGGCCUGAGGGCAAGCCAGCUUUUAUGGGGGGUGCAUGAGGUGGUGCGACCCAUGACGAUGAGAUGGAGGACGUCCUUGGAUCCUUAGGUGGUGGCCAAGAGGAGGAAGAUUGAGGAGUUUGUUGAAUUGUAGAGUUUGUUUUUAUUUUGAGUUUCAUUUGUAUUAUUAUUGCUUUUGUUGAAUUUUUAUUGUACUUUUAGGUGGCUCUAGUUCACCAAAAUUUUGGUUUGUUAAUUUGUCUUGUUAAUUGCAUGAAUACUCUGUGAGAUUUAAGUGUGUUACAAUGAAUUUGGUUUACCAACAUUUUUUUGUUUAAUUGUUCUUACUCUUAAGUCAAGCUUAAAGCAACCAAGAAAUAUUCGCAAAGAAAGAAGCAUGGGACACUUCGAGUGGUGAUGAUAAGAAUUAGUGUCGGCAUUUCAAGGUACACUUUAUCGCUUUCUAGACUUAACAUGAGUAGUUUGAUGGUGUGUGCAAAUUCCAUAUCAUAAAUUCAUUGAAAUACAUGUCAUUUUUGACUCAAAAUAGCGAACUUAACACAAUUGUGAGGAGACUUUCCAUGACUAAAAUGCUGGGAACAGCCUGGAAAUAUUUCAACUCAUUCUUAUCCAUGCUAAAUCAUGCAUCAAUCUAUUUUUUGUGAAAUAUUUGGAAAAGAUAGAGACAUUUGGUUUGUUCUUUCAGAAAACACUUGACCAAAAAGUUUUGAAUCAACACUUGUUGAGGAGUAAUCCUUAGUUAACCCCCUUUGAGCUACUUUAGGAUAUUCUGAUAAAGUGUAAAAUCAUGAAAAUUUUGUGAAUAAAUGAAUCUAAUUUAUUUCGUGUCAAUUGAACCUCAAAGCCGAGUUGUUUGCAAAUUUUGUCUUUUUGCUUAUGUCUAAGUAGGGAGCAUUAUGAAUAAAUUUGGUUUUGAAUCUAAAGUUGGGGAGAGUAAAGUAAAGAGUUGAUUUGAAACUUGGGAGAAGUGAGUUUAUGAAAGAGUGAAAAUAUGAAAAAACAAGUAGAAAGUCACCCUUGAAAGAAUCAUAGAGCAAAGCAAACAGAAAAGAAGAAAAAACAAGAAAGGCCAUGGUUAUGUGGAUGUAAAAGAAAAGAAAGAAAAAGACGGGGAUCAAAGAAAUGGAAAUUGUGUAGAGUUGAAUGUAUGAGAAUGCUCUUAAGAUAGGCAAUUUUGUUGAUUCUCUAAUCAUAUCCUUUCUUGUAACCAAGCCACAUUACACCUGAAGACCUCUUGAUUCUCAUUUUUUCACAUGAUUCGGUAUUUGUUUUUGAUGACCACAUGAUUUGAGUUGUUGUUGAUUUUAUUGUUGGAUGUUGAAAGUAAACCUUCAUGUUUAUUCAUAUUAUUAUGAUGUGUGUGUAAGUUUGAUUCAAUUUUGACAUAUAAUGGCUUUGAAUUCCUUGGUAUGAUUUUGGCACCCAACCAUUGCUCUUAUUCAUGUUUUGUCUAGCAUUGAGAAUAGUGGAUGAGAAAGUGCCAACACUUUUGAAGCCAUUUGAAUAUCCUUGUUAAUCCUUGUUUCAAUCUUUUGGUCAUUGCUUUGGUUGUGUUGGUGGAAACUUUUGUUUAGGGACAAAACAAAUGCUAAGUUGGGGAGAGUGUUAGGACAAUUAGUACUACUUUUUAUAUAAUUUUAUUGGUCCUCUUUUACCAAUUUUUUGAUGUAAUUACACACUUUUAUUCUCACAAAUUUUUUAUAAAUGAAAUUAGGUUAAUUGAUGUUGUUUUGAGUGGUUAUUUCACGUAUUUGUUAGUUUGUAGAAUUUUUGGACAAGAGCUUCGGAAUGCACAAUCAUAAUUUGGAAGAAGUGUUGAAUGAAAUUUGGGCCUAUUUUUGAAGAUUAACCUUGGAAGAAUAACUGCAUGAAGCUUGCAAGGCAAGGAAGUGAAGUAGCUUCAGUUCGCCGCCGCGAUCUCCCUUCGCGCCGCGACCUUGCGAAUCCAGCAAGCUGUUUUGGCCAAGUGUUCUGUUUUCAAUGCCAGCUGUGUAUGACAUUUCUGUAUCUGUUUUAGGGGAUUUUUAGUUUUUAGAUGUAAUGAGCAUUUUAGGAAGGUCACCCUUUUAGAAACAGAAUGGAAAUGUUCAUUCAUUGAGUCAUAGUUUGUUAUUUUAUAAGAGAAAACAGAGUUCUUAUCAUUGCCUUUUGCUUCCAAAAUGAUUGAUGAGGAGCUAACCCCAUUUUGUCAAGAUUGGAGGUAGUAGCUUCUUAUUUGUUUAUGUAUUUCAAUUGACUCUUAUAUAUGAUAAAAGAUUGUUGAUGUAUUGAAUGAUAUUUUGCCCUAAGUUGAAUAUUAGAUUUGAGCAGUGUUGAAGAGAUUAUUUAAGUCUUGACAUAAAAUAUAUUCUUAAGUAGUGAAUAAGUUGUAGAAAUAGAUUUAUUCACUACUCUUCUUUUGUAUCAACCAUUAAAGUUGCUAUAUUGAUAGUUAGGUGGAGAAAUCGUCUAAAGAUUAAUAUAGUGAUUAUCACAAUAUCAUUUAGACAUAAAUGAUAUUGAGAGGAUACUUGAAACAUCAUCAAUAAUUCUUAAAUCUAUAUAGUUGUCAUAAGGAAUCAUAAGUAAUUUGAAUAGUGAAUCCAAUUUUGCCAAGCCUUUUACAUUUGAUUAAAACUAUUUUAUUGUUUUAGUGACAUUUUACUCAAAAGAUAACUUUCACAAAAACAACUUGGUUACAUUCUAAACUUAUAACAAUUUGGAUUAUAGAACGGCGGUAAUAACAACCAAUCUCUGUGGAUACGAUAUUAAAAUAUUUGCCGAAAAUAUACUUUUCAACAGCGGGUCCCUCAGUCGAAACUUGGAGAGACAAGUCCCUCAUGCGAGGCUUGGAGAGGCAAGUCCCUCAUGCAAGGCUUGGAGAGGCGAGUCCUUUCAAAGAGACUUCGAAAGUCGAGUCUCUAUGGCGGGACUGAGAGAGGAAAGUCCCUCAAAUGUGAGACGUUUGGAUCCCAGAGGCAUGUGAAUCAUUUAAUGCUUUGUAAUGAUGAUGUUGCCUUGGGAAAGCUCAAAUAAUAUUAACAAUUGAUUAAUUUACAUGCGCAAAAUUUGGGUCAUGGAUGCUUUGUCACCCACUAGUAAGAGUAGACCUAUUGUUUGGUAAUAAUGGCAUACUCGACCUAGGUAUAUUGCCUUAUAAAUAGACGAAUCUCAAUCUUUUAUUUUACUUUCUUCUCCACUCAUAUUUCGCACUUCUCUAAAGAGUUUUCUUCUCUGUGUUCCUCCUUAUCAUCAUCAUCAACCUACAUACUCAAGUAUUGAAUUACCUCAUUUCAUUUAUCUUCUCCUUUUCAUGUGAAUGGAAAUUAUUAUGAAGCUAGAUGAUAAUAACAACAUCAUAUAACCUAACACACAUGAAGUAAAUUUGAAGAUGUCGAGGCAUUGUGUAGAUAAUAUGAGACGACCAGAUGGGACAAUUGAUUAUAACCUUAUAGAGUUAGGUAUUAUUGACAGUUACGAUAACAUUUUUUAUUCUAGUAGUGAUAAUGAUCCUAUUUAUCCCUAUUCUUUCCUAGGACAAACAUAACUACUAAUGGCGGAUUGUUCUUGAAAACGUUCGAGUGUCGAGAAUUUAAAACUCUCUAUAAGAUUGAUGGCAUGAUGAUUUUCUUUCGUAAGGAUACAAAUCUUGUUGAUCCAUGUGCUUUCAGGUACAACUGUUUGCAAUCAUAAAAUGUUCAAUAUGGUUUUGAUAAUGACAACUCUAUUAUGUGAAUUCUUCAUCAGAAGUGAUGAUCAAAGAUGUUCUAUCAAGAUCAAGUUGUGUUUUUGUGAGAUCAAUAUAUUAUAAUCAAUCAAGUCAACACUUAAUGUCAAGGGGUGCUCGAUGGAGUCAGUGAUGAUCUCUGGACAAGAAAUAUUUGAUGAUGUUGUUUGUCAAGAAGGUUUGUCAAGCAUCAUCAAGUUAGAAGAAGUCAAAUCCCAAUUGAUUCGUUGAAUAAAUGAUAGAUCAAGCAAGAGAUAUUGAAACUUCAAAGAAUAUGAAAGAGAGAGAGUGUGAAAGCAGGGUUGUAGUUGAUUCCUCCUUGUGUACCAAUGAGAGACACAUUAGAGAAUUCACCAUAACUAUCAAUAAUGUCCACACUACUCAAUGCAGAAUCAUACCAAACAAUAUCAUUAUUAGUGAUAGACUUGAGUCUUUGAGACCACCGUAGACAUUGAAUGUUCUCCGGAAAAGCGGGCGUCUGAGGCAAGUGUGAAAUAAACCACUUGUACAGAAGAGGAACACAACACACAAUAGUCCCACCACCUUUAGAAUUCUUUAAAUGCAAAGAGAAGUACAUGUCACCCAACAGAGUAGGUACAGGGUUCCCAAUCAAGAAGAUUCUAAUAGAGUUAGCAUCAACAAAAUCGUCAAUGUUAGGGAACAAAGUUAAACCAUAGAUGAGAAAAACAAACAUGGCUUCAAAAUCAUCCACACUACCGGCUUGAGAAAAGAUAGUAGCUUUCCCUAUGAGAAACUCAGAAGUCAACCCAAACAUUCCUCCUUUCUUCACCCAAUGAGCCUUAAUCUCAAACUUCUUCAGAUGAAGAGUUUCAACUAUGAUAUGAGAUAUGGGAAUCUCCUCUAAUCCACUAAAAGGUACCUUGUCAAAAAUAAGUAUUCCCAAGAGAAGGACACACUCCUAUAACAUAGGCAUAAGUUGAUAAUCGGGAAAAGUGAAGCAAUAGUAGAGAGGGUCAUAAAACUGAACCAACACACUCAAGAGUCCUUCAACCACAGUAGUAGAUAACACAGGUAGAAGCUUCCCAUGACGUUUCUUGAAAUCCAAUGGAUCUAAUACAAAGGAUGACAACUUCCUUAGCUCUUUCAAAUCAGGACAUCUGAAAUUGUACUUCUUAGUGUUCCUUCGUCCACAGUCCAUGGUCUAAAAAUAUUUGCAAAUAAGACCUUGGUUCCUUGAAGUUAUUUUUUUGUGUGUGAUGAAUGUCAUGAUGUGCAUGAAUGCAUGAAUGUAACAAUCAAAAACAACGGAUCACACACAAGGCAAACACAAACAAAGGUCAAGGGAUGAAUCAAGUCAUUGUCAAGAUUAAUCAUCCAUUUUGGUGGAUUAUAGUUUUCACCUUAUCAACACCCAAGUUCCAUUGAUAUUAACAAGACUUAAUUGGAUCAACCAAGAAUCAAAGGGUUUGUUGUGAGUCACUAGCAUGGAGUCAGGUUAAGAACCACCCCAAAGUAGUGUACUAAGGAUAAAAACCUGUAGAUCAUGUUCUAAAAAGUUCCCAGAGUCUUAAUUCCAUCUAUCAGAUAUUAUAGGUUAGGGUGACUGACUCAUCAACCCAUAAUAUUUUCAAGAGAAACUCGUCUGAGUGUAGUAUCGCGUAACAACUGCUAUAAAGACUACACCUAAAUAGUCUUUGCAAUACGUCCUAAAUAGGACAAAUUGGGUUAAAUGUUCUACGGUCCUCAGCUUCUCGGACCCCAAAUUAGAGAAAGUAAUGUCUAACCACAAAUAACUUGUGUGACAUUAGUAACUCCAAAAGGGUCUCCACUGAGUAGAUGGAUUUCAAGCCAAUUUGUUAAGGACUAAUCCACACAAGUAGAACAUGACUAUACCAUCUUCCUAUCUUAAUUGCACUCAAGUUCGGGAUAGAACUUAUCUCACCACUCAGAGAUCAUCGGGCAUAACAAGCAGAUUAUAUCACACAAAGAAGUAUAUAAACAUCAAAUAUACAAAUAUAUACACAUAAAAAAGUAGGCUAAACCCACUGAGGACUACUCCCCAGCAAAGUCGCCACUUAAUUUCUGUAGCGGUAAAUUCAUGACCAUCAAACUAUGGAUAAGCUUAACAUCAACAAAACAAGAGUCGUCGUCGCGCUUUUACUGUUUCCAAAGGAAAAGGAAAAAGUACGAACAAACCCCAAAGAGAAUAAGUUUUCAAAUCAAAACUAAUAAAAUGCCAGAGAUUACAGGUAAUGGGGUUGGUUACACAGAGGGAAGGUGUUAGCAUCCACAUUGUCCUAUGUACUCCUAGGGAGCCCUUUUUUAUGUGUGUAUGUGUUUUUGGUAUAAAAGAUGUUUGAAACAAAUAGAGUGUGUAGAUGAGAAGAAGAAUUCAUUAAUUAUACUUUUGUGUUUGACAAGACCUUCGGACUUGUGCCUACGUAUCAACAUAAAAUGAGGGAUCAAAACCUCGUAGUUCAUGGUAUCAAUGUCAAAAUGAGUGAGUUGCUUUUAAUCAAAAUUAUAAUUUAAAAGAGGCACAAAGGGCCCAAAAGUUUGCAUGAGUGUUAGUUCUUUUUGUCUUUUGAAAUUUUAAGUCAAUAUGGUUAAGUUCAUUUACAAGUUUGAUUAAGAAAAGAGUUUUAAAAUCUAAUGGCAUAAGGCCAAAGUUUCUAAUUUGCAAUAAAGUCUAAGUUUGAAAUCACAAGAAAAGAAAGUUUUUGAAAAGGGGGAGAGAUUUUGAAAUUUAAGAAUUGGGAGAAGAUGAAGAGACUAAUCCUAAGCAUAAAAUUAAAAGUUAAGAGUUGAAAGAUCUGACAAAUGGGAUGCAAUCCAACAAACAAGAAUGUCAUAUAGAAAACCCACUUUCUCUUUGGACUUUGAAUCAAACAAUAGUCAGUAAGCAAUUAGCAAUAUGAAGAGCAAGGCAUCAAAUAAAGAUGGUCACAUCCAAGCAAGCAAGUCCAUAGCUAACCGUCUUCUUUGUCUUCUCAUGAAUCAGAUGAAAUACUCCUUGAGUUUUUACUCAGAAUAAGGUAUUAGGCAUGAGAUCAAAAUAACAGUUGCAUCAAGACCAUGGAGCAGAUGAACUCAAGUGGAUCCAAAUACUUGCAUCAGAUGAAAACCCAAAUCACAAUAACUUGGUCUCAGAAAUGUUGGCAUUGGCCAAAUCCUUUUGCAUAUGGAAUGUUUCCUAAUUCUAAGUCCAAAAGUUCAUAUCAGACCCAACAGUCCACACAAACAUUUUUCAGGGUUUUUUGCUGUUUAUUAAGUAUUUUAAGGUCCUAAGACCAAAACACAAACAAAAUACACAAACAAAUAUAUACAAUCACAAUAUAUGGCUCAAAUGAGCAAAAUGAAAAUGACAUAAACAUAAACAAGUUAAAUGAUAUGUAAAUGGAAAUGAAUGGUAAAUGACUUGAAAUUAAAUUGCAUAAAGUAAAUGACUUGAAAGAAAAGCAAAUUUAAUAAUAGUUAGUGUUAGUCAUAGCUAAGUAGAUGUUAGCGGAGUUUUUCUUUUUAAUUGAUUAAGUCAUUCUUUGGGGAACACUCAACCAUCUAUUCACAAGCAUGGAUCCUUGAACCAAGACAUCUUCCAAAGGAAAGAAAAAAGGCCAAGUUUCCACACAAUACCAUGAAAGAUGGGAGACUUACAAUCUCACUUACUAGAAUGUUAUGCCUUUAGGGUCAAAUUUAGCUCUAUGUUAAGCAAUCGUAAUUGGACUUAUGUAGAAUUCACAACUAUCUGAGGUCGGGAAAUAAAAAUUUGGAUACUAAUGCAUGUUAGAGAUUUGGUAUAAUGAACCAAACUUCUAAAAUAUACCACACACUAAAAGAAAAAGAUCAAAGGUUGGACCUAUCUCAUCCAUACUUGUAUUGGUUCAUCUAACAUAAGGCUAUUGAUGAACCAAUUAGCCUUAGGAUUUGGAGAUUUCAUUGGUCAAUGAAAGGGAUGGGAAUUAAUGGGAUUGAAGAUGAAGAGGGAAGGGAGAUGAGAGAAACACAAAUUGGCCAUGGGAGGAAUUUUAUCAAAUUAAAAUCAUUCAUUCAUUUUGGGAGAUGGAUUGUACAUUUCAUCAAUCCCCUAAAUCCAAUUAUUUUAACUCAACAAAAGUCAAAUCAACCUUGACCAAGGCCCAAACACAUAGUCAAACAUCACAAGUCAAUGAAAAUGGCUCAACAAAACUUUUACACAAUUAAUCAAUUAAAAAUAUAUUUAAAUUCAAUUUAAUUUGGUCAAAACCUAAAAUCUCUUCAAAACACCAAAUAAAUGGCCAAGAGAUUUAUCCUAGGUCAAACAAGGUCAAAGGACCUUAGACAAGAAAUUUCAUGAUUUUUUAAAAGUCAGAAGUAUUUUUAAAUAAUAAAAAAUAUGCACAAAAACAAUUAAUUCAUAAAAAAUAUCAAAAUUAAUCCAAAAAAUAAUUUUAAUUCAGAAAAUGAAAGAGGAAAAUAUUUAAAGAUUUUUGGUGAAAGUCUCAUAUUUUUUGAAUUAAAAAUGAAAUUAAUAUGAAUUAAACAAAAUAAAGGGAUUAAAUGAAAAAAAUCAGAAAAAAAAUAAAAUAGAAUUAAAAAAAACAAGGCCCAUCAGAUCUUCCUCAUUAAUUGAGGUGGCAGAUGUGAGGGUCACACGCGCGCGUUCCACCAUGCACUCAAGUCAUAUUAAUGUACGCAUGGUAAUGCAAAAUAAAGGUCCAGAUUAUAACAUCCAAACAUGAUCAGAUGGCCAUGAGGUGUGUCAACACACCACCGGAGCUAGGGCUCCGGUCAUCUUCUCCGGUGACCUCCACCAGACUGGUCCAACUUUAUUUUAAUGGAAAAUGACAAACAAGGACGUUAUUUCAACGAGAAAAUGCUCAGGAUCACGAAUCUGACCUCACUUUUCUCCAAUUCCAAGUUAAUAAAGAGAUACAUGGAUUUGAAUUUUGAGGAUCAUGAACUGAGUUGCUUAGAUUUGACCUCAAAACAACUUAAUCUUCUUGCCUAUAUUGGUAGGACUUCAGCCAACCAAAAAUCAUAAAGAAUGGUGAAGAACUGAGGGAGAAUUGAAGAGAUGGAAAUUCUGAAAAAUUACCUUCGGGGGAGCUUCAACAUUGCUUGAUCUUGAUUCUAAUUGUCAUUGACUUUGUUUGAGAAGCUUGUAGGAAGUGAUUAAGAUCAGAAAAUGGCCUGGACUCUUGGAGUUUCAAUCUCAAAACAAAAUGAGAUUUGAAGCUCGACUUUCAAAUGAAAACCUUUAAGAUUAUCCUUUAGUGGUGAGGGUUUGGAAUACAUGUUCAAAGCCUGGGCAUGAGAGGUUGUAUUUAUAGGCCAUGAGAUUCAUUUCCACACACUUCCAAAUUUUGCCUAUUUUAGCAAUUCACCUUGCAUGCUUGCAUGGGCGUGUGAUAGGCCCAUCAAGUGAUGUAUUCAGGUCCAAAAUUGCUUGAGAAUCAUGGGAAGGAGCGUGUUGUCUAUAUUGUCAACGACUUAAUGACUUAUGGAUCUCUUCUUGAUUCAAAAUCGACAGUUUUAUGCAAAGCCGCCUCUUGAACAAUGUUAUUCUUCGGAUUAAAAUUAUGUAAUAUUUCUUCAAUUUGAAUCAAUCUCUCUGUUAUGGUAUGUGAGUGCUACUACUGCACCAUAUGGUAGAUGCUGCUCAGCAGGUCCUUGCCUCCCUACAAACCUUGAUUAGCCUACAAGAGUUUAAAUUCGGGAAUCAUUUAUUAUACAUGCAUCAUUGUAGGGAGCAUUGGAGGCUUGAACGAAGGUCCGCCUUGCUGAAACUGUUGUGUAGAUAUAAGGAAUGAAGGAGGUUGAAACACUUUAUGAUAUGUCAUAGGUUGGACAUGAUCUUGAGGUAAGGGAAUAAGUGGAGUAGUACUUGAUUGCUUGUCCCUUAAGGGGGUGAAUGAUUCAUGGCUACCUUAGCGGCAACAAUAACUUGUCGUUGGACGACGAAGCGAGUAGCUUUGGAAGCCGCCAUUAUUGCAGAUACAAUGGAUGAUUUGAAGGAGGAGAUUUUGAAUAUAACAUAAGUGAUUAGGAAAUGGAGAUCCAAGCUUCGAUUGAAAGAGAUGUGGUUUUCUAAUAGGAGAAGGCUCGAUUAAAUCGAGAGAAGUUUAAUCGUGAAAAAUCGUAGAAAUUAAAAGUUGAUUCCAUAGAUGGCGCCAAUGUUUUGUGUUGGAUCUAGAAUUGAUUGGAGUGUAUGAACCUGAAGUUGAUUGUGGUGGUUUGGGGCUUCUGAUGAAUUGGAGAAGGAGCCAACCUACAAUGUUAGCACAUCAAUGAUCAAAUCAGUAAGAGACUAAAAAUAAAGUUUGAAUGAAAAAUUAUUUGAAUACAUAUGAAGUGGUACAUUUUUAUCUAAAAUAAAAGAAAUGAUUGAUAACUGCAUGCGUGAGAUGCAUUUGAUGAUCAGAUUUACCUAGCCGCUCGCAUUAAAGUUGACCUACUUCUAAAAAAAAAAAAAAAUACAAUUAUUAUAUCGAAUGAUGCCUUAAUCUUUAUUGAGCUUAUGUUUCUUUAGACCUUCUGGACAAUCCAUCACAACUUAUUAAGAAAAGUUAAAUUCAAAAAAGAUGAUCUAUUAGAGUGUUUCGUGUCAAAUAACAAGAAGGGAAUUUGGUGAGUGGAUUCCCCCGGAAAAAGGAUUAAGAAUAGUGCCAAAAGCAGCAAGCCCGUCCAAUGUACCAUAAUAAUUAUUUAUAACGUAACGGGCGCCGAGUGAUUGGCCACAAUGUCAAAAAGCAUUGGCGAAAUAUCACGAUAACGUGUAUCCAAUGUCCCUAACUUCAAAUAUUUUCAUCCACCAUUUAAAAAAGUCUAACUCAUUUCCACUACUUUGCAUUUAAUUAUUAUAAAAAAAAGUCGAUAAUUUUUAACAAUAUUCCCCUCCGACAUUCAAAGUAAACAGACGCCUUCUUUCUUUGUCUUCGCAUGUUUUAUGUCUUGUGGAUAAGCUUCAAUCUUCAUGUGCCGCUCCACCAUUCCUCUCCCUUUCCCACUAUUUCAUUCAACAUUAUUUUAUCUAUUAUCAUGUUUUGCUGUCAUUAAUUAAUGAGCAUGCCUUCAUAACAAAAUCAAAUAAAAAAAAUAUUUUCAUUACUUUAAUUUUAAUUUUCUCCCACGCAAAUUUUAAAAUAAUUCUUCAAACCACCGCGACUUUCAAAUUCCUCGUUCUUCAUGCACCCUAGCACAAUACAAUCCUUGCAGUCCACACGUCUUUUUUCUCCUUUCCCAGCUGUUUCAAAUUUCACAAUCCACAUCUUCUUUCUCUUCUCAUAUAAAUACCCUUCUCUCUUCCCUUAUCCAUUUCAACUCCACAACACAAACACAAAACACAACAAUUACUCUAUUCUCAUUCUUAUCAUUGAAAAAGAAAACACUACAACUACUACUAACAAUUUUACUUAUAUUCAAACAUGGUUGAUUUACACUGGAAAUUAAACAUGCCAAAUUCCGACAUGCCUUCCAAAUCUCCAAAACUUUCUAUCUCCGACAAGUCCUCACCACGC